AUGCAUUUUAUGGUAGGAUGGAGAAUCCUAAGUUGAAUCUCAUUGUCUUUCCCAAGUUGCGAAUCAUCGAUCUUUCUCACAACAGAUUCAAUGGAACCUUGCCUUGGGGUUACUUUGAAAGAUGGAUUAGCAUGAAAAAUCUGGAUGGAAAAAACUCACCUCCUAAAUACAUGCAUGAAAGUUUAGAUAUGAGGAUAAAUAUUAUGCAUGUUCCCAGGGAUUAUGAUUACUCCAUGACAAUUACAAACAAAGGCAUGGAGAUGAAGUACCCAAAGAUCAUUCGAACUCUUGUAGCCAUUGAUUUCUCCAGCAACAGAUUUGAUGGAGAAAUUCCAAAAUUGAUUGGGAAGCUCAAAGAGCUUCACUUGCUCAACUUUUCGAAUAACAAUCUCGUUGGAGGAAUCCCAAUAGCCAUAGCGAAGCUCACAAAUCUUGAAUCUUUGGACCUUUCUCAGAACAAACUAGUGGGAAGAAUUCCAAUGGAGUUGAGUACUAAACUCACUUUCCUUUCAUUCCUCAACGUCUCUCAUAAUCGUCUUACAGGGCUUAUACCAGGAGGCGGCCAAUUUGAGACUUUUCAAAGUAGCUCCUUUGAUGGAAAUCUUGGGUUGUGUGGAAAACCCUUGCUAAAAGAAUGUAGCAACAAUUCUGGAAGCCUGCCACCUCCAUCUUUGACUUCUUCGGGAGAAUUUGGAUUGGAUUGGAAAGUAGUGUUGUUGGGUUAUGGGUGUGGAUUCCUAUUUGGAGUGGUGAUUGGGCAUGUUGUGAUAAAAAAGAAACCUGAUUGGUUUGCCGACACUUUCUCCAAAUUUCCUACAAGAGGGCGAAGGAGGCAUGUACUAUAAAAAAUCAAGUGGACUUUGCAUGCACCAUUGGGGAUGGUAGGGAUGAAGGUUGUAUCCUUCAUCGUUUUUUUCCCUCUAUAUGCAUCUAUGUCAUGUAUUAUUAAGCUAUAGUUACAUUAUGGAAUGCGCCCAUUUCGCUUUUUUCAUCACUAGUACUCUUGUUAUAAUGAAAAAGAAGUGGAGUUAGAAGAAGGACGACACAUAUUACUAGAAUGUCCCCUUGGCUUGGUCAGAGACCAGUUUUUAUAUAAUUUCGAGCAUACUAUAUAGAAUUCAAAUCUCUAGUGGGAAAUUAUUUAAAUCUAAUAAUGAUUUAAAGAGGUAUGGGUUUAUGAGAGGAAAAUGAUUUUUUUAUGAGAGUGUAACGCAUAGGUUUGUGCAAGUGUACAUAGUUGUUAUCAAGUAAUAAGUAAGUAAAAAAGUUAUCGUCUCCACAAGGACUAUGUAUGUUAAUCAAUUAAUUGCAAAAUUAAAGUUUUAUAAAGUAGUGAUAAGAACACAAUAUUUCGAGUGAUGGAUGAUUAAACUAAAUUAAAUUAUUUAGAUGCAAGAUGAUCCUUAAUACAAUUCUAAUCUAAGUUGAUAAUUAACUAAAAUGUAUGAGAUGAAUUUAGCAACAACAACACAAACUUUAACAAUCAAUAACAAGAAUAGGCUAACAACUGUGUUUAACAGUGUUCAAAAAAUACUCCAUGACAACUCAAUCUUUCAUGAGUUUGAAACCAAAUUAAGUCUUCUCGAAAUCUUUUACUUAGUAAAACAUGCAUUUACUGAUCAUAUUAAACUAAAGGUUUCUAAGAAUUCAUGUGAAAUAACAGGGAUGGGUUAAGUUUGAAACAAUAUAAUCACAUAAACCUAAAAACUAUGCAAUAUAAUAGAGCUCGUUAAAGUUAUUGUGAACCUUUAAUUUAGUCGGGUUAGGAUGUAAUUAAGCAUGCACUUUUCAACUAUUAUGUCUAUUAGCCGUUGUCUGGUUAGGAUCGCUCAAAUAAUUUCAAUGCAUCCAAUCACAUAUGAAUGAAAUACAUGCUUGAGUUUAAUUAAAAAUAUGAAUGACUGAGGCAAAAACACUAUAAACAUGAUUUAAACAAACUUCAUUGAAUUGAUUCAAUCAUCCUAGCUAAACAGAUUUAAGCUACCAUUGUGAUGGCAAGAUAACAAAGCACAUUGCAAACAUGAUUAAAAUCAAAGUAACAAGUAAAUGAAGAAUAAACUCUAUUUGAAUUAGCAGUCUUACGAACUUCGAUUGAAGAAGUUUUCUCCUAUCCUCGUGUUGCUCUUUUGCUAAUGGCUCCUCAAGGUGGCCGCCUAAGAGAUGGUCUUAUCAAGGUUUUGUUGGCUAAGAAAGAAAGGAAAUAUGAGAUGCUAUGCGUGGGAAUGAAGAGAGGGAAUGAGAGAAUGGAAGAGAAAUGUUAAAUGAAGGAUGAAUGAGAGAUGAUUAAAAUGAGGAAUGGAGGUGGGUAUUUAUAAUGAAGGAUGGUAGGUGUGUUUACUAAAAAUAGCAUGAUGAAUCCCUUAGAUUUUCCUUCCCAUGGCUGGCCAUAAUUUGUGGAGGAGGGAGUUGUUUGGUUGUUUGAUUCAUGCACGAUAUCAUGCUUGAAUCAAACAAGGGUAGGUGGUUACUUGGGAAAAGUUGGUGUGCUAUUUUCUAACUCAUUUGCAAGUGUAGGGACCUCCAAUAAAUCUCCCAAAAGUGAAUUUUUGAACAGCCCAAAUGCCUUUGCCGAAUUGGGCUUGUUCUCCCUUGUUUGGACAGUUUGGUGACCCAAUUGUUUACCAAAUUUGUCCAUCAAUUGGCCCCUUCUUCAAUUGGAUCAAAUCAACUUCUUCUUGACCCAUUUUGCAUGUAUUUGCCAUUCACAUGGAGUGAAAUUUGGGCAUGUCCGUGUAGCUUUAAUUUAUAAAAAAAUCAUGUAUAAUUCCUUGGUCCAACUACAUUAAUUAAAUCAAGAUCAAUAAGUAGCAUAAAAUAAUUAAGUUAUGUACACAUUUAAUGCAAAAAUAGGAUAAAAGCACACUCUUCAUUAAAUCAUGCCCAUUAUUGAAAUAUAAACAAAGUUUGCCCAAUUAGUGAUCAAUUACUUGGAAUUAAUAUUAUUUUUAAGUAAAAAGGUGCCGAAAACAACUAUAAAAACCCUACAUAAAUUAGAGUUUACAGAGAGAAGCUUGUUAAAAAUUAAAAAUUAUAAAUCGAGAAAGGAGGAGAGAAGCUUUUGAAUCACAGUUCAAUCGAUUCAAUUUAAUAUUUGUAUCUCUUGCAUGAAGAUCGAUGUGUAAUGGUAUAUGUACGUAUAAAAGAUUUUACGGGAUCUGUAGAAAGAUGGUUUGGAACAAUACUGGAUUUCCUACUUUGAUGAGGAGUAUGAUUCAACGAUAAGUGGAUUGAAAUUUCUUAUUUAUCUCUAGGAAGGAAUGGCGACUCGAUCGGUAAAGACUUUAAUGAGAUCAUAUUAUGGGUUCUGAGCAAAAUUGACCAUACUUGCCUGAAAUUAUUUAUUUAAAGUGAAAUUUUUGAAAGGAUUAUUAAUGAUAAUGACGAGAAUGGGAGCUAUAGGGACCUAAUUAAGAGGUGAAGUAGUUUUAUAGGAUAGCAGUUUGUGAGUUGCCAAUGUCGUUUAACUACGAGGAGUCUACUUUAAGAUUGAAGUAUAUUGGUGAAGUGAAAUUAUUAAGUACUACUUUCAAAAAUAUAAGACUUUUGGUUUAAUAAUGGGUAAAUUAUCUAGUUGGUCAUCCAAUUUUUAGGAGUGCUUUCAUUUGUUCACCUAAAAUGAAAUAUUUGCAAUUACGUUGUCCAACUUUUAGGGCAUAUUCAUUUUAGUCCUCCAAGUUUUAAAUAUCUAACGACGGUUGACUGUACACACCACAUCAUAUUUACACUUUCAUUUUGGUCACCCAACUUCUAGGUUGCUUUCAUUUUGGUCAUCCAAAAAAAUACAUUUUUUUAAAAAUCACUACACCAAAACAGGCUUUUAGCGGCGUUUGGACAAAAAACGCCACGAAAAAUCGAGCAUUAGUGGCGCUUUUAAAAAAACGCCGCUAAAGAUCGAGCAUUAGCGGCGCUUUUUGGAAAACGCCACUAAAAAUAAGCAUUAGCGGCGUUUUCUGAAAAGCGCCGCAAAAAACCUAAGCCCAACUACACCGUUUUAUGAGUUUUUAGGGCAUUUAGUUGCGUUUUUGAAGAAGCGCCGCUAAUGCUCGGAUCUUUAGCGGCGUUUUUAAAAAAGCGCCGCUAAUAAUAAUAAAAUCUAAAACCAUUUCAAUUAUCUCAUUCUUUGAUAUAUUCUCAUGUAAUGUUUCAAUUAUUUUUUUUAUUAUAAGUUGAAAAAAUUGAUAUUUCGUUGUAUUUAUUAUAUAUUGGUCAAAUUUACAUUUAAAUGAUAACAAAUAAUAUUGUUUAAUACAAAAUGUUUUUAUUAAAGAGAAGUCCUAACUCCUAACUAUUUAUUAUUAUUUUUCAACCACAGUUUAUUUAAACUACUUUACUAGAAAAAUAUAUUAAAUUAUGAGUAAAAUAAAAUAUCAUAAAACUUAAAUUGAUAGUUCGAUUAAAUAAAUCAAAUAAAGUAAUAUAAAACACCAAAUAUGGUGAUAAAUAAUAUUAUAUAUUGAUAAUUUUAUUACCAAAAAUAAUUUUAUAUUUAGUUAAUUAAACAUGAACACAACAAUGACCUAAUAGUACCUACUCAAGAGUAAGAACUGAAAAUGAAUGAAAAGGGACAAAUGAAAUUAGAGUAUUAAUUUUAAGUAUUAAUUUCAAAUAUAAUUGUAAAAGAUACGAUAGUAUUAAUUUUAAAACAUUUAAUUUAAUUAUCAUUAUAGUUUAGGGUUUAAUAUAUAUGGUUUAGAGUAUAUAUAUGGUUAAUUUAGGAUUUAGGGUCAGUUUAAAAGUUACAAUUUUAAGGUUUAUAGAUUAUGAAAUUAGGGAUUAGGGAUUAGAGAUUCUAAUUUAAGGGUUGUGAUUUAAGGUUUAUGUGUUAGUGGCUAGGGGGUAAGGGUUAGAGGUUAAGAUAGUUAUGGAUUUAGGGUUUAUGGAUUUAGAGGUUAGAGGUUAGGGGUUAGGUUUAGAUUAAUUAAUGUGUUUUAAUUUAUAUAUUAAAUAAUGUUUAGGGGUUAGGGAUUUUGGGUCAAGUUAGGGUUUAGGGAUUAGGGAUUCAGGGUCGGGUUAGGGUUUAGAAUUUAGAUUAAUUAGUGUUUUUUAAUUUAUUUAUUAAAUAAGGUUUAGGGGUUAGUGGUUAGGGGUUUGGGGUUAAGAGUUAGUGAUUUAGGGUUUAGAGAUUCGAGGUCAGGUUAGGGUUUAAGGUUUAGAUUAAUUAGUAUUUUUUAAUUUAUAUACUAAAUAAGUUCUUAUAUAAUUGUAAAAGAGAUAAUAACAAAUUGUAAAGAUUAUUAAUUUAAAAUUGAUAUGCAAUAUACAAUAUGUAUUAGAAUUUUUCAAAACGGUGUCGUUUCAUUACAAGUUAUGACUAAAAAAUAUUUAAUCUAAACCAUUUGAUAUAUUUAAAUAUUAGAUUUAAAAAAAUUAAUAAAAAAAUGAAACAAAUUGAUACGGAUAGGUAACUAUCUAUUUUGGAUAUAUAGGACCAAAUUAUAACAAAUAAAAAUAAAAUACAAAAACUAAAAUCAUUCCACAUCGAACAUGUAGCAAAAUAAUAAUAUUUUAGUUAGGAAGAAAUAUCUCUAAUAAAAUGGAGAUUAGAUCGGAAAUGAAUAAUAUAAAAUAUUUAUUAACGUCUCAAUCUUUAAUAGAAAUUUGAUAUGUGAGAGAUUAAUUGCUUACAUUGGAUAAUUCUAACUUAAUAAUUAAUUACAGCCAUUUAAUCAUUUUUUUCUUAUUAAAAUAUACGAUAUUUAUUUUAAAAGUACUUAAUUUUUUUAUAAAAAUUCAAUUUAUAAAAAAUAAUAAUAAAUGAAAUAAAAAAUUCAAUUUAACUAAUAAUUUUUAACAGACAAAAUAAAAGAUUUUUAGCAAAAGGUAAGCAAUAGCGGCGUUUUUAUAAAAAACGCCACAAAAAAUAAUUUUACUUUAAAAAAAUAGCACCCUUUUAGCAUAGCAAAAUAGUGUCGUUUUAUUCCAAAUAAAUUUACAGCGUUUUCAUAAAAAAACGCCACAAAAAAAUUUACUUUUAAAAAAAUAGGGCCAUUUUAUAAAAUUCCCUCCCCUCCCCCUAAAAUUCCUUAUUUCCCACAUCCAAGAAAGAAACCCAAAGCUUAUUCAACUCUAGGGAAAAUCAAAAUCAAAGAACCCAGAACCAGGAAACCAAGGAAACGAUGAGAAAAAGAGAAAAAAGGGAUUGGAAAUUGAAAGGUACCGAGUGGAAGGGUUGUCAAUAGGAGGGCAUGAAACUUGCAUUAUUUUUCCCACUCUUAACCUAGCAUUUGAUAUCGGUCGAUGCCCACAACGUGCCCUUUCUCAAGAUUUUCUUUUUAUUUACUCAAUCCAACUCCAUUAAUUCAUUUACCUUCUUUUAAUCUUAAUCUAAAUUUUCUUUAAUUUAGGGAAAACAAUUAUUUUUUAUGGCCGAUCAUCAGUUCCUCUUAUUUUGCAGGUAAUAUUCCAAUCUUAUUCUUUCUGGAAACAGAAAAAAAAUCAACUUUUUUUCCAUGUUACUUUUUAAUUUGAGUUUGGUUUUAUGGUUAAAGUGAAAAGGAAAGGAAGAUUCAGUUUUCAAGGAAAAAAGUGUGGAUUCGGUGCAGUUCAGUAGACUGUGAUCGGAUCCACCGCAGAAUGAAACCUAUUGUCCUGGAGAGUAGCUGGGGAACCUAUUGUCCUGGAGAGUAUCCAAGUCCUCCCCCAGAGUAUGAAACCUGCUUGGGAGACUUGUACAGUGUUGCUUGGAUGGAGGACAGGUACAUAUAAUUUUUUAUUUACCCUUCGGUUCAUUGAAUCUGCGAGGUUUUUGAAGUUGAAGCCUUAUUGCCUAUAUCUGUUUUCGAUAGAUUUCAGUUUAGCAUUUUCAGUUUAUUUCAUGUCUCUAAGAAUUUGGUAAACAAAUACAAAAAUCAGAGGCAAAGUAGGUGGAUAUAUUCUGAUUCUUUUGAUAUCACCUGGAUUAAAUUAGGAUAUAUUUUAAUACUAAGGAAUCAACUUUUUUCUUAAUAGUUGAGUUACAUCUCUCGGUAUGUAUUUUUAAUGUUCUGUAUCUUGUUGAGCAGUGACAUACAUAAUCUGUGGAAGGAGACUUUGCACCAGCAAUAUGAACUUGUAUGGCUUUUUUAAACCUAUGCUUUGCAUGAGCUGUUUCCUUUCCUUAAAAAGAGAAAAAAAAUGGCGACUUCGAUGUCAUCUUCCUAUAGUAGUUAUCUAUUACUGCUAUAUAGAUAUAAAUAAAUAUGAAACUAUAUACUGAAAAUGAGAGGUCGGUCUAAGUUCCUUUGACAUUGAAUUCAAGUGCCAAUGAAUCUUAUUCAGUAUUAUGCUAAAAUCCAAAUGGUUACCCGGUUGAGUUAUAUGGUGAAAUUUCACUGUGCUGGUCUUUACAGGUAAAAAGGAGGACUAUCAAUGACAAUUCUGCAUAUGGCUCUCAUGUUAUGCAAUUUGGUGAUAUAGGAAUUAGCAUGGACAAUCUCUUCACAUGUUUGGGUACCAAUCCUGCUAACGAUAACUUCAAAUUCGUCGAUGGGAACUCAUUGUUGCCACCCACCAAAGCUGUUAAUCAGCGCUAUGCUGAUCUUGUCCAUUUCUGGGAUAAGGUUUGUAUCCUAUGUCUCUUGCAUCAAAUAUUAUUGUGAAUGAGUGUAAGAUAUGAACCUUUGUUCCAUACGUUGAAAGCUGAACUGCUAGUUUAGAGCUCAUCCCACUCAAGUUAUUUUCGAACCUAUUGUGUAGUAUCGCAAGGCACUUGAUGUCUUGGUUAGGAAGGUUGAAGCUCAAAAGCAGGUUAUGGAAGCCAUGUCCCAUAGAAUGCAUGUAGACAACAGUAUACAACUCACUGGAAAGCUGUUAUUCGGAGUCAAAAGAGGCCCUGAAGUUUUAAACACUGUUCGACCAGCUGGUCAACCUCUUGUUGAUGACUGGAAAUGCCUUAAGAAAAUGGUAAUAUCCUUGAUUCUCAGUCCCUCUUCCUCAUUUUCCUUUUUCUCAUCAUGCAACUUACGAAGAUGCUCUGUUCAUCGACACAUGUGAGAACCUUUGAGACGCACUGCGGAUCACUGGCUCAGUACGGGAUGAAACACAUGCGUUCCCUUGCGAACAUCUGCAAUGCUGGCAUUGAGACAGAAAAGAUGGGUGAGGCAUCAGCACAAGCUUGUUUCAACAUUCCUUCAGGACAUUGGGGUUCUCUUGGGAACGGGUUCAGUGCAUAAAAUAUAGCAGAACUUUCAACUGUUGAAGACCUUAACUUUUGAAUACAUUCGUCAACCACGUAUAUUUAAUAGAACCACUUAUCGAUUGACUCAUACAUAUGAAGGGUGACUAAAGUUGUUUUGAAAAGAAAUGAACAUGAAAAUAAUUGCAGGGAUCCUAAACCGAUAAGCUUUGGUAUGAAGAAUAUCGAUAUACUGGCUUUGUUUGGUAUGAAGAAAGUUUUAGUUAGUUGGGAUUAUUAAGGUCAGAACUAGAGUCAUUGUUUGGCUGCACUUCGAUUUUUGUUAAGUUGAGCUCAAAUUUUAUUAGUUUUUUUGGCUCAUUGAGCUUAUAUUUUCUUUUUAUACAUGCAAAAUGGAACUGGAUUUAAUUGCAGUUAAAAAAUGCGCAAGUUCUGUGCCUGUGCCGCUAAUCUUUUUGUUUAUUUUGUGGCACUAAUUCAUAGAUUAGAAAUCAUGUCUUCUCGGUAAGGGAACGUUGGUUUAGUACUGAUGUUCUCUUCUUUUGUUUGUAUUGUAUCUAUUUAUUAUUUUUUUCUUUUUGCAUUUGUAUCAUUUUACGUGACAGUGGCUGUCCUAAGGCAUACCACCCAGUCUGUAUCAAAAGGGAUGAGGCAUUCUUUAAAUCCAAGGCAAAAUGGAACUGCGGUAUGUUUGGAUUAAUUAUUUAUCACUUUUAGUUCGAUUUAAUUAAUAUAAGUGCUGGGGAGAGUUGAAGCAUGAAUUCUACUGUCUAAUAUAUCAUAAAAUAUGAAGGUAUAAUGUGUCUCUGCCCUUUUCAGACCUUAUUUUGUUGCAAGAUAAUUCAUAGUUAACAACUCAAAAGAUAAGUAAUGCGCAUCCAAUAUUAUUAUAGCACUUUUAUUUUUUGAUAUUAUAUAUUCUAGCUUAUCCAAAAUAUAAAAAUAAUGUUUACUAUAAUAUAUUUAUUUAUUUAUCUUAUUAUUUUUUUAAGACCUAUACUCGUGUUUUCAUUUUAAGACAUACACGGAUAAAGAAGGUAUCAUGCAGCAGCAGUUGUUGGCAUUUAUCCCAAGACAUCACAAGCACUACAUUUUACCGAGUAAAAAUAGUUGAUAGAGGCCUUCUUUUUUUCCUGGAAGCUAAUUAGUGGGUUGAAGUUUUGUAUGUUUUCUCAUUUCCAUUUCCUUUUUGUCCUGUUUCUUUGCCUCUCUUCUAUUGCAAUUUUUUCUAAGCCAGAUUCUGUCAACAAGAAGGUACAUUUUAGUCCACAGUUACAGACAGAUCCUAGGGAAAAUUAUCUCCAUGCUAAAUCUUGUCUUCAGCCUUCAGGUAUAGUGUUUCUUAGCAAGUAGGAACUCUUCUAUGUUAGUUGUUUUCUGCAUUGUUUUGAGGGGGCCAAAGCAUAAUUUUCCUUUAUAUUGAUUUAUAAUUUGAUCAUAUGUAAGGGGUUAUAAUUUGAUCAUAUUAUUGGUUUUAUCAACUGUUGGGAGAUUGUUCUCAUAACACUAGCUACUGGUCCAUUCAUUGUUGCUGCUGGAGGCAUAUCUAAUAUAUUUCUUCAUAGGCUUGCUGAGAACAUCCAAGAUGCUUAUGGUGAGGCAGCUAGCAUUGCUGAACAGGUUUUUCUCUUCUCUCCUGGUUCCAUUUCUUUCAACCAGACUUAUUUUUCUUAAUGUUGUUAAGUGAAUUUAAAUUGGCUAUUUUGCUUAAUGUUCAUACAGUUCUAACCCUAUUCUUACAUCAAUGGUGUAUGUUUCAAACCAAGCAUUAUUUUAUUUUCUAUCCCUCAUUUUUUAGCAUACUUUUCUUAACAUGGAAGAAUAAGCUAUGAUUUCGACCUUGAUGUUGAUGGCAGUCGCAUUAUUUAACACCAAAACCCAUAUUUUACGGGUUUUUCAAAGAAGAAAAAUGCUGGGAAUAGAUGGUCUCUGCAAAAAGAUGGGCUACAAGGACGCCAAGUUACUGAUGCUUUACGGGUAUUAGAUUUAUCCUUUUUCAUCUGUUUCUUGUGUGUUCCUAGCUUUCACUGUAAAAUGGGAUAGCUAAAUUAUAUGGUUUCUGCAUGCUCCAAAUUCCUGAAAAAAGGUUGACAAACAUUGGCAAGUAAAAUUUUAGAGCAAGUUCUAUGAAGUUUUUUAUGGAUUCUGUGGCGCAGACCUAUAUUUUUUUAUUUUGGCAUAUCAUGUAAUUGUUGUACAAGUAAAGUAAAAAGUAGACUGAAGCAGUUUACUAUGAAGUUUUUAGAGAAAGUUCUAUGAAGUUUUAAUCUAUGCUUGCUUUCCCAUGGAUUUCCAUUCCAACUAGCUUUGAUACGGAUCUGCUGCUUUGAGUUUCAUGCGAUCUCCUCACUGUUAACUUGUAAUUAUCCUUUUUCCACCUUUUGAUGAGUGAUUUUGCUGCUGCUAUUGUUGUUAUUAGGCUCUGAUAGCCAAUGGCGUUGAAGCGGGGACUAUCCAGUGUGGGCGUCCAAAGGAAUAGAAGUUCUGGAUCUCGUUUGCGUAUCGUGAUUUUUUUUUCUUCUCAAUUCUGAUGCUCAUUGCUUUGAGUUCAUUACAAUUCUGCUGCUUUCAGUUUCACGCUCAUUGCUUUGAGUUCAUUACAAGAUUUCCUUGAUUAAAUAAAUGUAUUAUAUCUUUUAUUACCAAGAUUUACUUGAUUAAGAAAAUGCAUUGUAUGUUUUAUUACCUUGCAUAUGUAUUAUUUAUUUAAGUUUUGAUUCUAAAUUUUUAUUUUUACUUAAGAGUUCUAACUUUUGGAUUUUAAUUGUGUUAUUAAUUUAUUAUUUUAAAUUCUAAAACUAAAAUCAUUAAUUUUUAUAUUUAGUUUUAAAGUUAAAAAUUUCAUAGGAAAUUUAAUUUAAAUAAUAUUUUUUUUAUCCUUAAAAGUAUAUUUAAAGUUCAAAUUUAGAAAAUAAAACAUAAUAUAAUAUUUAUCAUAAAAAUAAAUAUAAUUCGAUUAAAAUAAUUUUUUUAAAGGUUAUGUUUUUAGCGGCGUUUUUGCGAGAAGCGCCACUAAAGGUUUGAUCUAUAGCGGCGUUUGUGACAAAAAGCGCCGCUAAAGGUUAUGGUCUUUAGCGGCGUUUGUGGGGAAAGCGCCGCCAAAGGUCUUUGUCUUUAGCGGUGUUUGUGGGAAAGCGCCGCUAAUGGUCUUGGUCUUUAGCGGCGUUUGUUAGAAAAGCGCCGCUAAUGAUCUUGGUCUUUAGCGGUGUUUGUGGGAAAAGCGCCACUAAAGGUCAUGGUCUUUAGCGGCGUUUGUGGGAAAAGCGCCGCUAAUGGUCUUGGUCUUUGGCGGCAUUUGUGGGAAAAGCGCCGCUAAAGGUCUUGUUCUUUAGCGGCGUUUUUAGAAAAAAAACGCCGCUAAAGUUAGCGACGCUGUCAUUAGCGGCGUUUUUUGCGGCGCUUCUCUAAGCGCCGCAAAUACUUUUAGCGGCGCUCCUAAAAAAGCGCCGCUAAAAGCCUAUUUUGGUGUAGUGAAUAUUGUUGGUAAAAAAAAGGGUUAAAGUGAAAAUAUGGUAGAAACUAAAAAAAUACAUUAAAAAUGUCAAAUUGUACUUGUUUAUCUCAUUGUCAAAAAUUCUAAAUUUAUGUUUUUUUAAUGUUGAAUUUUUGAAUUUCAAAACAUUAAAAUCAAUUAAAUAAAUGGUUGAAAAUUUUUUAUCCCUUGAUAAUGUCAACCAAUUUGUUAGUAUAAUAUUGAAUUUAUUAAAUCAAUUAAUUUAAUCUCCUAAAUUUUAAAUUUUUAUUUUAUGUUUCUAUAUUAUUCUUAAUGAAAUCAACUCAAAGAACUCAUAUUUAAUAAUUGUGUACAAAACUUUAAUUUUUUUAAUUAUAUAAUAUUGAAUCUUCCAUGUUAGGCUAAAAGCAAAUAAAAAAUCCUUACAAUUAAUUAAAUUAAUUGCUUGUUCUUCAUUUGGGUUAGAGGUGAUAAAAAUUUAUUGGUUUUAUUUGGCAUGGAAGAUAAAAGUAAUUAAUUUAAUUAAAUGAAAUGAUUUUGUUUUUUUGCUUUUAACUUAGCGUAAAAAAUUCAAGAUCAUAUAAUCAAAAGUAAUUUGGGUUUCAUAAACAAUUAUUAAAGAUGAGUUAUUUGAGUUUAUUUUAAAUUGGAAACAUAAAAUAAAAUUUUAAUUUUAGAAGGAGAUUAAAUUAAUUGAUUUAAUUGAUUUUAAUAUUAUAAUAACAAAUCAAUUAACACUAUCAAUACAUAAAAAAAAUCAAUAAAUUAUUUAAUUAAUUUUGAUGUUUUGAAAUUUAAAAUUCCAAUAUUGAAAAAGAAAUUUUAGAAUUGUUGCAAGGGAGUAAACAAGUACAAUUUGACAAUUUUUUAAUGCACCAUUUAAUUUUUACUAUUUUUUUUCAUCUUUAAUGUGAUUUUAUCCCGAUUAAUACUUUAAAAAAAAUUUUGUGACCAAAAUGAAAGCAACCUAAAAGUUGAGUGACUAAAAUGAAAGUCUAAACAUGAUAUGACUUGUACAGUUAACUGCCGUUAGAUAUUUAACGCUUGGGUGACUAAAAUGAAAGUGCUAAAAGUUAGAUGACAAAAUUGCAAUGAUUUCAUUCUGAAUGACUAAAAUAAAAGUGACCUAAAAAUUAGGCGACCAACUUGAUAAUUUACCCUUUAAUAAUUUAAUAGAUUAAUUCAAUUUAUCUUUUUAUGCUUCAAUGGUGCGUUUUGGCGAUGCAUUUAGAUUUGAGAGAUGAUGAUAAUGUUUGUUUGGGGUGUUAGAUGGGUAAUAGUAUUAGUCUCCUAUAUUGGGAUGGAGUACAUUUUAUUUUUUUUAAUAAAUAUUGAAAAAAUUAAUCGUUAUAUAUUAGAAAAAAAUAUAAAUUGAUCAUUCUAUUAAAAAUUUUAUCCAUGUGUUCCUAAGUGAUGAUAAUGAUUUUUCAAAAAAAAUUUAUAUAAGUGAUAUGGAAUUAAUAGAUGAGUAGGAUUAAGAAAAAAUACUUUGGACGUCUCUAUAAUAAGAGUUGAUUGUAUUUUUUUGUUUACACAAAAAGAAAAAAUUAAUCAUUGUAAAUUAAAUAAAAGAGUACACUGUUUUUUAUGAUAUUGCAUGUUGUUCUUACGAUAAAAGUGCAAACAAAUUUUUUUUUUGAAGGAAUAAAGUAUGCUUCUUUCUUUCCAUAAAUUUUUUUUUUUAUUUUGCUCUUCAAAGAAAAAAAAAUCUUUAUUUUCCUCACUGUCAUCUUUUGGUGACCACAAAGGCCGAGUAUUUGUACGAUGACACAUUUCAGUUGCCUUCUUUUUACUCUCGUUGUAGAAAUUCAAAGGUAUUAUUAUGAUGUAGAAAUUCAAGACCCUCAAUGCCAAACGUAUUAAAUGCCAUUCGGCAAACCCUUCCUAUAAAUUCAAACACCAUUGAACUGCCUUAAGCAUGAAAAUUACACAAAACUGAAAUGGGUAAUCUAAGCCUAUCCCUUGUUUCUUUACUAUGCUUAUUAGCUACUGCCGCUUCCCAGCAGUGUGGGCGCCAAGCUGGUGGCCGGACUUGUGCUAACAACCUUUGUUGCAGCCAGUUUGGUUAUUGUGGCACCACAGAUGAUUAUUGUUCACCUUCUAGAGGUUGCCAAAGUAACUGUCGGGGUGGGGGUGGUAGUGGCGGCGGUGGUGAAAGUGCCUCCAAUGUCAGAGCUACCUACCAUUACUACAACCCUGCACAAAAUGGAUGGAACCUAAAUGCUGUAAGUGCCUAUUGCUCAACUUGGGAUGCAAACAAGCCCUUAGCAUGGCGCCAGAAGUAUGGAUGGACCGCCUUCUGCGGACCGGUCGGACCUCGUGGCCAAGCAUCUUGUGGAAGAUGCUUAAGGGUUAGUUUUCAAUUUGUUUCUUUCAUCAUCUCAAUCAUGUCUGGUUGAGUUUAAGAGCUAUGAUACAUAAUAAGCUAAUAUUGGUUAUGAUGAGCAGGUGACAAAUAGAGCUACAAGAGCACAAGUAACAGUAAGAAUUGUGGAUCAGUGCAGCAACGGAGGCCUAGAUUUAGAUGUAGCCAUGUUCCAGCAGAUUGACACUGAUGGCAGAGGCCAUGCCCAAGGCCACCUUAUGGUGGAUUAUCAAUUUGUCGCCUGUUGAGAUUCAAGCUUUUCUUAAAAAUAAAGAAUAAGAGAACUCCCACCUAUAACCAAAUAAAACAAUUUUAUGUACCUAUUUGAUAUAGAGAAAAAGCCAAAAGGGGCAAAUUCAUAAAGUAUUUUUGAAUUGCCAAUCCAAUAAUAAAUACGAGUUUGAACAAUUGCUGAUUAGUCAAGAAUUACAUACUGUUAGAUGCAAUUUUAAUUAUUAUUAAUUAUACAUUUACUAUUUAUUGGUGAAUCUAAAUAUCUGUUCAUAGUGUCGAUGAAUGAUAAAAAUGUACUUACCACAAACUUAAAUUUAUCGAAACAUCCAUGUGGCUUACCACAUGAUUGGUGUAAAUUGCACACAGUAAAGAAAAUAUCACCUCUCUAUGUUGCUUAAUAUUGUAAGUAAGGUAAUUAGUAUUUUAUACAUAAAUGUAUUUAAAAACUUUUGAUAUUGAUACGUAUCGAUAUCACCAUAUUUUGAUGUAUCAUUUCAAGUUUAUCGAUAAUUUUAAAUAUUUUUCAUAUAUAUAUUUGUAGUCUAAUUUUUAAUUCCUCGAUAAAUUAUAAUAUAUUUAAAUAUUUUCACAUGUAUAUUUACAAUUUAAUUUUUAGUUUCUUAAUAAAUUAUAUGUUAUAUAUACAUCAUAUAUCUUAAUUACAUUCAUAUAAGCAUAGUUAUAUGUACAUAUAAAUUUUAAAAUUAAUAUUUAUUUUCGAUAAUCUAAUUUAAUAACUAUAUUUUAAUUUUGUACGGAUUGGAAUUGGUAGGUACACACCGAAAUGGAUUGAAACGAAGGAAGCACAUCAAAAUUUUAACGAAAACAAAACGUAAAUUACUUGAUACCCAUUUAAGACCGAAACGAUAUAUACUAAUUGAUAUAAUUGAUACUGAUAUGAUACCAACUACCAUAUAUCAAAAUAACAUUUACAUAAAAUAUUUUACUCCAAACAUUUUAUCAUGACUUGUUGGUAUGUAACUUUAAAAACACAAAUCAUAUGUUUCUUAUAUUCAACAAAUUAAUUGGUAAUUAAGAACUCAUUAAUUUUGCUUAUACGAUUAUACCUAACAAUUUUCAUGACUAGGAAUAGCAUUUAAUCCACUUUCAAAGUGGAUAAAAUCACCAAUUUGGCUGAAAAGUGAUGUACAUACGCAUAUUGGUGCAAAAUAAAUAAAAAAUCUAAGGCAUUCAUAGUUUCAUGCCUACUUCUAUCACUUUAGAACUUUAGAAAUGAAAGUGGCAGAAAUUUGGGAAAUGUUUCUUUUGCCUUCCCAUUGAUACAAAAUUUCAUAAUUAAAAAAUAUGUUAAAACUUGAGAUCAAUAAAGAUCCUCAUGUCAGAUCAUAAAAGAAAAAAAAAAAAAAGAAGAAGAUAUGGAAGUAUGCUGAAUCUGUUGAUAUGUUAAAACUCAGUAGAGGUUAGACCUCCUGUUUGGCAUUUAAGUGACACGAGUUCAAAUUCUGUUAACUCUUUUUCUCUCUCCUAAUUUUGUAAUUAUCAAAUAUGUUAUGUAGGCAAUAUGUAACUUUUACAUCAUCAUAAAUUAAAGAGACUAAACUACUUAGUUGGUCACCCAACCUUUAGGGUAUUUUCAUUUUGGUCACCCAAGCAUUAAAUCUUUAACGGCGGUUAACUAUACACGGCACAUCAUGUUCACACUUUCAUUCUGGUCACCCAAAAAAAAUAUCUUUUUUUUUAAAAUAUUAAUUGGGGUAAAAAAAAGCAAGGAUUAAAGUGGAAAAAUUGUAGAAACUAAAAUAGUACACAAAAUUUUCAAUUUGUACUUGUUUAUCCCAUUGCCGGAAAUUCUAAUUUUUUUAAUAUUUAAAUUUUAAAUUUUAAAACAUCAUAAUAAAUUGUUGAAAAAAUUUUACCCAUCGGUAAUGUCAACCAAUUUAUUACUAUAAUAUUAAAAUUAAUUAAUUUAAUCUCAUUUUAAAUUUUAAAAUUAACGAAAUCAACUCAAAUAAUUCAUAUUUAAUAAUUGUCUACGAAACUAAAAUCUCUUUUGAUUAUAUAAUCUUGAAUUUUUCAUGCUAAACUAAAAGUGAAGGAAACUAUCAUUGCAGUUAAUUAAAUUAAUUGCUUAUUUUUCAUUUGGGUAAAUAAGUGAUGAAAAAGAUUAUGAGUUUUGUUUGGCAUGGAAGAAAAAAUUAAUUAAUUUAAUUAAUUGUAAGAAAUUUUUUUUUUACUUUUAACUUAACACGGAAGAUUCAAGAUCAUACAAUCAAAAGAAAUUUAAAUUUAUAUAGACAACUAUUAAAGAUAAUAAUUUCAUUGAUAAUUUUUUAAAAUAAUUUCAAAAUAUCAAAAUAUUUUGAAAGGAUUAUUAAUGAUUGUCAAAACCAUUUUUCUGAAAACAAAAAAUUUAGUUGUCGACUUUAAAAAACAAAACUGGAGUCGCCACCGAUCCUUUAUUAGGGUGUGAUUGGCCCACCUUAAAAUUAAUUUUGGUCUGCGGAAUUUGAAAAAACAGGUUCGGGAGUCAGUUACGCACGAGGAAGGAUUAACACGCUCGUAACGCCCAAAAUUGGUACCAAAUUGAUUUUUUUUAAUGCCUUGGUGUCGAAAAUUUGAAAAGAUUUUAAAAGGAAACUUUUUAUUUCAUGAAUGGAUUUAAAAUAGUAAGACAUUCUUAUUUCAAAGAAAUAAAACACCACACCCAGUGAGUUAGGGCACAAUGUUUUUAAAUCUUCAAAAUACCCGAAUAUUGCCUUUUUGUUUUUGAAAAUUCUUAUUUCGAGAAGAAAAUGUCAUGACCAGUAAGUUAGGACCCAACAUUUUAAUUCCCGAGAAUAAGCUUUUAUUUAAAAUUUGAAAAUUUGUUGCAAAACAAAUACUUGGCUUUCUAAAUUCAUCGAAAAAUAAUCCCGAUCCAGUAAGUUAGGACACGAUCUUUCACGUGAAUCAUGAAUGUCAAAUAUUUCGGAAUUUAUAAAAUAGGAUGAUUUAAGUACUUUGAGAAAAUCAAAAUAUAUGUUUUUAAAAUGAAUGCUAAAAAAGGGUUAAGGUAUAACAUGAAACAAAUACCCUAAUUUCAAACAUAUAUGAAUAAAUAUUCACAAUUACAUAUACAAGUAGGUAGAAUAUACAAAUAUAUUUACAAUUAUGCGUUCGCAUAUAUUUAUUUACAAAAGUGAAAAGAAUUUGAAACUAAAAUAUAAAAUACANNNNNNNNNNNNNNNNNNNNNNNNNNNNNNNNNNNNNNNNNNNNNNNNNNNNNNNNNNNNNNNNNNNNNNNNNNNNNNNNNNNNNNNNNNNNNNNNNNNNNNNNNNNNNNNNNNNNNNNNNNNNNNNNNNNNNNNNNNNNNNNNNNNNNNNNNNNNNNNNNNNNNNNNNNNNNNNNNNNNNNNNNNNNNNNNNNNNNNNNNNNNNNNNNNNNNNNNNNNNNNNNNNNNNNNNNNAUCGUUAAAAAGAAUGUAUGCACAUAUUAUUGCAGAGAAUAUGCGAAUGUGUAUAUAUAUAUAGUAAGGGUAAUAGUAAUUCCUAUAAUAAUAAUAAUAAUAAUAAUAAUAAUAAUAAUAAUAACAUAUAAAAAACAACAAAUUAAGGAUUAAAUCAAAAAUAAACAAAGUUUUGAAACCAAAUUUAAAGAUGGAAACUAAGGAAAAGGUCCAAAUUAAGAUGCGCACAACAGUAGGAGGACCCAGGUGGAAAUUAAUCCAUCCUCUCAAAAUACUGCGCAGCUAGGGACUGAAUCGAAACUCGGAUCAAAUAUGCGGCCUAAUUUAAAAAACAAAAAAAGGUUUAAUUUGGGGCGCAUUGCAAAAGGGAGGGACCAUUUGCGCAAAUCUCCCCUCUGACGUCAGAACGCGCGGAUCCUCCCCUUCGGGUCGGGUCACCGCGCGGGUCAAGGCCUGGACAAUACGGUGCCGUUUUGAUCCUUUAUUUAAAACAAAUUUUCUUUUCAGAAUCAGUUGCAACCGAAGAGAAAAAAAAAAUAAAAAAAACAGAGCCCCCCCCUUUUGUUUGCUCUGCUAGGGUUUGGAACCCUAGCGUCCUUGCGCCGCCGCUCGACCGGCCCUCUCACCAAAACUCCGAUCACGACGGAGAUGGCGGUGGCACGGCGUUUUCAGGUAAGUUUUCCUUUCCUUUUCCCUUGUUAUUUUAAACGAAACAAAAUAAAAAGUAAAAGAAAAUAUAAAAAAAUGUAAAAACGAUGAACACUUUUAAUAACAAGAAGAAAUCACCUUUAAAAAAACAAGUUUUUACUGCUUUUUAUUCUCGAUUCCCUAUCAAAAGAUCCGUCCCAUUUACAUGUUAAAAAUGGCCUUUUAUAGGCCGAAAAAAGAAACAAAAAUUCAAUUAUUUUGCUUGUUUUUUUCCUUUGGACCCUUUAAGUCCGUUUUGUAGGAAAAUGUGAAGCAAACGGCGCGGGGGAGGCCGAGACGUGUGGCGAUCGGGCGUCUGCUGGAGACUGCUGGGGGCUUGCGGCGCAUUACCUGCUAGGGUUUCUGAUGCCUUAAGCCAAUUGGGCUUCGUAGCUGGAUUAAGAUAGGCCUAAUUUUCUAUUUUGGGUUAUUGUUUGGGCCCAGGCAUUAUUGGGCUUGUACAGCUGCCCCUCUUUGCUCAUUGUCGUGUAACAGGAAUAGAGCAAAGACUACAAGGCCCAAUUAUGUCUGGUCUUACUGAGCCUUAAACUUCUUCGGUGCUUUUCUUCUUUAAGUAGCUUCAUUCCUUCUUACUGCAUCUUCAGAGGUAUAGGAACUAGCGCUUCGAUCCACUCCACUGCAAUGCCAGGGAGAUAGGAUUCAUACUUUGUAGCUUCUCAAAAGAACAAAAUUUGCUAUCUUUAAUCUGCUCCACUGCAACUUCAAAGAGAUAAGACUUAUAGCUUCAACUUGUUCUGUUACAACUUAAGGGUGAAUCUAAUGUGAUCUGCUCUACUGCAACUUCAGAGAGAUGAGAUCUGCGGUUUUAAUCCACUCCAUUGCAACUUCAAGGAGAUAGGAUUGGUUACUUUUGUCUGCUCCACUGCAACUUCAGGGAGAUAAGACUUGUAUCUUCGAUCUACUUCACCACCAGUAUGGGAAGACAAGAUCUGCUCAUUUUUGAUCUACUUCAUGCCAGUACAUGAAGACAAGAUCUGCUUUUCCGAUCGAUUCCACUGCCGACCAGGGGAAUAGAAUUACUGGCUUCAAUAUACUCCACUGCAACUUCAGGGAGGUAAAAUCUACCAUCUUUGAUCUGCUUCUCUGUCAGUAUAGGAAGGCAAGAUCUGUUUUUCCUCGAUCUACUUCGCCACCAGUAUGGGAAGAUAAAAUCUGUAUAUUCGAUCCACUUCGCUACCGAUAUAGGAAGACAGGACCUACUAUCUUUGAUCUGUUUCACGCCGGUACAUGAAAACGAAAUCUGCUUUCUUUAAUCUGCUUUGCCACCAGUAUGGGAAGGCAAGAUCUGGUAUCCUUGAUCUACUUCACACCAGUACAUGAAGACAAGAUCUGCUUUCUUCGAUCUGCUUCGCCACCAGUAUGGGAAGGCAAAAUCUGUAUGUUCGAUCCACUUCGCUACCAAUAUAGGAAGACAUGACCUGCUAUCUUUGAUCUACUUCACGCCAGUACAUGAAGAUAAGAUCUGCUUUCUUCGAUCUGCUUCGCCACUAGUAUGGGAAGACAAGAUCUGUUAUCUUUAAUCUACUUCACGCCAGUACAUGAAGAUAAGAUCUGCUUUCUUCUUCGACCUGCUUCGCCACCAGUAUGGGAAGGCAAGAUCUGCUAUCUUUGAUCUACUUCACGCCAGUACAUGAAGACAAGACCUGCUUUCUUUGAUUUGCUUCGCCACCAGUAUGGGAAGGCAAGAUCUGUUAUCUCUUCAACCUGCUCCACUGUUGCUUAGGGAGACAAGGCUUUAUGAUUUCACCAAUCUGCUCUCUAUGAAACAUGACCUGUAUGAUUCACUUUAUGAGCCUAAUUAUGCCUAAUGAUUAGGAUGUUAUGAUCAAAAUGAAUCAAAUGCUCCUAACUAGGCGUGUAUGAAUGAUAUGUUAUGUCAUGAAAAAUGAAUAUUGAAUGUUUAAAGUCAUUAUUGCUCAUUAAGGCUUCCUUCGUGGCAACAACGCUUCGUCAAAACUUGAGAAUUUUAAUCUUGACUCUUGACUUCCUAGAUAUCUCCGACCUUUUAACCCGGUGAAGGUCUAAACAAUAGUCCUGUUUCAGGUUCCUGAGCUGUUUAAAGAUUUCUAGAGUAAUAUGAAAAACCUCCAUUGUGAAAGUUUUACUUGUUCACUAAUCGUCAUUCUAAUGCAACAUGUUUGCGAAAAGAUCACAACGAUGAAUAAAACAAAAUUAAUUUGGGAGCAUAGCUCGCAAUGGAUUGUCAAUGAUAGAGAAAUUGUCUGGGGACAUUUAUAUUGAAAAAGAAUGAAAUAUUCUAAAACAGCGAAUUCAAUACAGAUACUAUGAUCAGGUGCCCCAGAUAUCUCUGCUUGAAUUUCUCUAUACAACUUUUCGAGACCCUUCUGAAUUCAACACGUGUUUAAGAGAUUCACAGUAUUUUGUUGAUGCCCCAAGAUGUCGUCUAUUCCUUUCUGCCGAUUUAGGUACAACAAGACUACCACGUGACGAUCAAAAUUUGAGCUGCCCUUCUCAGGUUUUCAACUCAAAUCCCCUUUGGUCUUAAGGUGCCCUUUGCGGGUUUUCACCUUAGCCUCUCCUUUUUUUUUGAAUCAAAGCGCCCUUUGCGGGUUUUCACCUUGGUUCCUUCCCUUCUUCAAGUAAAGUAUCUCUUGACCGAAUCUGAAUUUACUGGAUUAGGCAAGGUUCUUCCAUCCAUUUUAGCCAGGAUCAGGGCUCCUCCAAAAAAGGUCUUUUUUACAACAUAAGGACCUUCCCAAUUCGGCAUCCAUUUCCCCCUAAAAUCUUUUUGUAGAGGAAGAAUUUUUCUCAACACCAGGUCCCCCUCGUGAAAUUCUCUGGGUCGGACCUUCUUGUUGUAGGCUCGCAUCGUUCUUUUCUGGUACAUCUGACCAUGCUGAAUAGCCUUUAGCCUUUUUCCCUCUAUCAAGUUCAACUGAUCGUAUCGAGAUUGAACCCAUUCUGCUUCAUCCAAUUGUAGCUCAGUCAAAACCCGGAGAGAAGGGAUUUUAACUUCGAUGGGCAAGACUGCCUCCAUGCCAUAAACUAAGGAGAAAGGUGUUGCCCCGGUGGAGGUCCUGAUUGACGUUCGAUAAGCAAGGAGGGCAAACGGUAAUUUCUCGUGCCAGUCCCUGCUAUGGAGCUGUUGUUCUUCCCCAUAAUCUUCUUUAUAUUUUUAUUGGCCGCUUCCACUGCACCAUUCAUUUUUGGGCGAUACGGCGACGAAUUAUGAUGUCUGAUCUUGAAUUGACUACAGACUUCUGCUAUGGAGCUGUUGUUCAAGUUCAACACAUUGUCAGAUAUGAUUCUUUCAUGCAUUCCAUAUCGACAUACGAUCUCCCUCUUCAAGAACUUGCUGACUGAUAACUUUGUAACGCUAGCAUACGAAUAUGAAACGAUGCCCAUUUGAAGCCUUCGGCGAUAUUGGUCCGAUGACAUCCAUACCCCACAUAGAGAAAGGCCAUAAAGAAGUCAUGACAUGAAGAGGCGAAGGAGGUGCAUGCCUUUUAUCACCAUAGAUUUGACAUUUAUGGCACUUUUUGGAAUAAUUGAUGCAAUCCCCUUCCAUGGUAGACCAGUAAUACCCAAAUCUCAUAAUCUGUCUAGCCAUUGUGAACCCACUGGCAUGCGUUCCACAGAUGCCCUCAUGGACUUCUUCCAGGAUUUUCUUUGCUUCCACGGCAUCCACACAUCUUAACAGUACCUGAUCUUUACCCCUCUUGUAUAAGAUAUCCCCAUCUAAGACGUAAUUAAUGGCUAGCCUUUUCAGAGUUCUCUUUUCAUUCUUCGUUGCCUGGCCAGAUACUCACGAUUUUUUACAUAUCGUAGUAUAUCUUGAUACCAAGGACUAUCAUCGAUUUCCUCUUCUUCGAUAUUGCAACAAUGAGCCGGGUCUUCAUGGAUACUCAUUUGGAUAGGCUUCAUAUCCUCAUGUCUAUUCACCUUGAUCAUGGAGGCUAAAGUAGCCAGUGCAUCAGCCAUCUGGUUCUCAUCUCGUGGGAGAUAGCAAAAAGUGAUGUCUUCAAAAUCUUUAAUUAAUUCCAGGACCAACUUUCGAUAACUGACUAAUUUGGGAUCUCUCGUUUCCCACUUACCCCUGAGCUGAUAUAUCACCAAUGCCGAAUCUCCAUAGACCUCAACACUUUGAUUCUUCGCUCUAUAGCUGCACGAAUACCAUGAUGCAUGCUUCGUAUUCUGCCAUGUUGUUUAUGCAAUCAAAAUCCAAUUUGCAAGUGAAAGGAUAAUGAUCACCAUUCGGGGAUACUAAGACUGCCCCAAUUCCAAUGCCCACAUCGUUCGAGGCUCCAUCAAAGUUUAGCUUCCAACUGUGACCUUUUUGGGGAUUUUCUUCAGUAGCGGCUAUACACAUCGGGUCUUCAUUCGGGAAAUCAAAACUCAAUGGCUCGUAGUCCUCCAAAGCUCUACUAGCUAGAAAGUCAGAAAUUGCACUCCCUUUCACAGCCUUUUGGCUCACAUAGAUAAUAUCAAAUUCAGAUAGUAAGAUCUGCCAUCGGGUCAUCCUCCCAUUCAAAGCAGUUGACUCCAUCAUAUACUUUAACGGGUCCAACUUUGAGAUUAGCCAAGUCGUAUGGUAUAACAUGUACUGUCUUAAUCUUCUGGUUGUCCAAAUCAAGGCACAACAUAGCUUCUCAAUAGGUGAAUAUCUCAUUUCACAAUCAGUGAAUUUCUUGCUGAGAUAAUAUAUCGCCAUUUCUUUUCUUCCCAUUUCAUCAUGUUGGCCUAGCACACACCCCAUGGAGUUGUCAAAUACUGUUAGAUACAAUAUCAGGGGCCUAUCCGGGCUAGGUGGUGACAGCACUGGAGUAUUAGAUAAAUACUGUUUCACCUUGUUAAAGGCUUCUUCGCAUUCUUCAUCCCAAGUACCAGGGUUAUGUUUCUUCAGAAGACGAAAUAUAGGGUCACAUUUCUCAGUUAGUUGUGAAAUAAACCUAGCAAUGUAGUUCAGUCUUCCGAGAAAUCCUCGAACUUCUUUCUGAGUGCGGGGUGAAGGUAAAUCCUGUAUUGCCUUCACUUUGUCUGGGUCAAUCUCGAUUCCUUUCUCACUGACUACGAAGCCUAGCAAUUUUCCUGACCUGGCCCCAAAAGUGCACUUCGCUGGAUGAAGCUUGAGCUGGAACUUUCUAAAUCUUAAGAAUAAUUUUCUCAAGACCUGCACAUGUUCCUCCUCCGUUUUGGACUUCGCGAUCAUAUCAUCAACAUAAACUUCGAUCUCCCUGUGCAUCAUAUCAUGGAACAAAGCUACCAUAGCUCUUUGAUAUGUCACUCCGUAUUCUUUAAUCCAAAUGGCAUCACUUUAUAACCCCAUAACGUAAUGAACGUAGUUUUUCUCAUGUCUUCAGGAUGCAUCUUUAUCUGAUUAUACCCAGAGAAACCGUCCAUGAAGGAAAACAAUGAAAAGUCCGCAGUAUUGUCUACCAAUGUGUCGAUGUGGGGCAAUGGAAAAUUGUCAUUUGGACUGGCCUUGUUCAAAUCCCUGUAGUCCACACACAUUCGCACUUUCCCAUCUUUCUUCGGAACUGGUACGAUAUUGGCCACCCACUCAGAAUACUUGACUUCUUACAGAAAUCUGGCAUCGAGUUGCUUCUGGACCUUUUCUUUUAUCUUCAACACGAUAUCAGGUCUCAUCCUUCUGAGCUUUUGCUGCACUGGCUUGCAAUCUUCUUUUAUAGGAAGACGAUGGACUACAAUGUCAGUACUUAACCUAGGCAUAUCUUGGUAUGACCAUGCAAAGACAUCCUUGAAUUCCUAGAUUAGUCUGACGAGGUCUUGUCUUGUCUUUGAUGAAAUAUCAGAUCCGAUCUUCACCUCUUUUCCUUUCUCUAAGCUCACAAUUUCUAUUGAUUUCUUGUGAGGUAGGAUUUGCUUCUCGGCCCUUUUUACCAUCUUCAACAAGUCAGGAGACAAACCACAGUCUUCGUCAUCCUCAAAAUCAUGCGAUCCCUCUAAACACGUGUUUCGUUCAAAAGGAGACUCUAAAUUUGUAAGAGUGACAUUCGUAUCAUUGAUAUCGUAGGACCUGUUAUGAAGAACAAUAUGGAUUCAGGAAUUUGUUUGGAGCAAUAUGGUCAUGAAUGAAAUGCAAGUGUAGUUUGAGAGAAAUUCAAAAUAACUGCUCUUAUGGAAAGAAAGAUUUACUCCAAAAAUGACUGCAAAAAUGAACUUUUUUGAAAUAACGAUUUUUGGACAUGAGCCUAUUUCACAAAGGAAUCCUUAUCACUUCUAGGCUUAAAAGCAAUAAAGGUGUUCUGGACAUUACUCUGAGGAAAUCCUCAAAACUACAGGUAUUUCUUCUGCAGUCCAGUUGUUUAGCGCCCUUCCCGACUCGUAAGGACGAAUACCCAGCAAAGUUCUUCCUCCUGUCGCUUCUUCACACACGGCAUGAAUACUCUCUAACUCUGUGUUAAUACUUCUGACCCCUAGCAUUCCUUGAUAGACGAAUCCUCCCGAUACAAAAGUCUUGGAUAGGUGAGGAAAGGUCAUGGGUUCCCAUUUGACUUCAUCACCUGUCAAACGAGCCCUUCUUCUCUCUCGCUUCUUUUCCUGCUCUAUCCUCUUCUACCUAGCAUCUGGCUUGUAUCCUAAGCCAAAACGGUCUUAUUUUUCUUUCAACAUUGGAGCCUCAACUCGGGCCUGAAGAUAUCUCCCCAAUCCUUUCCCUGGCAAAGCUCCUUUUCCAACUGUCAAUUGCAGCCCCAUCUUUGUGGUCUUUGAUAUUCUCGGCAUCAGGAUCUUGUUUCCCUCAAGGAUGAAUGUCGCAUUUACGAACUCCAAGGAACGGAAAGAGCACUCGAUUGCAUCAUCACUCGUCUCCAAAUAGGGCGCAUCGUUGGUCACAGAUGCAAUGAUAUCCUCUUCAGCAUCUAUCGUCACUACCCGGCCUUCUGACACCAGCUUCAGUUUUUGAUGUAACGAUAACGGUACCGCACCUGCUGAAUGAAUCCACGGCCUUCCUAAUAAGCAACUGUAAGAAGGCUUGAUGUCCAUAACCAAGAAGUCUACCUCAUAGAUAGUUGGGCCAAUUAACAAGGGUAUGUCAAUUCUUCCCAUGACUUUCCUCUCGGUGCCAUCAAAUGCUCUCACCACAUUCUGACACGAUCUCAUAUGUGAAUUAUCCACAUAUAGCCUGUUGAGCAUGGAUAGGGGCAAUACAUUUAAUGCCGAUCCAUUGUCUACCAGAACUCCCGGUGAUAUGCACCCUUUACACCUUGUAGUGAUGUGUAAAGCUCUAGUAGAUCCCAUACCCCCGGAUGGUAUUUCAUCAUCGCUAAAAGAGAUGAAGUUAUCAGCGCUUAUAUUGCCGACCAGUCGAUCCAACUUGUUAAUAGAGAUAUCGUCGGCAACAUAAGUUCCAUUUAGCACCUUCAGUAGUGCAUUUCGAUGUCCCUCCAAGUUCAGGAGUAAAGCUAGCACAGAUAUGCGAGCUGGUUGUUUGUGUAGCUGUUCCACAACGCUAUACUCGCUAUGCUUUAUGAACUUCAAGAACUCUCUUGCUUCCUCCUCUUUGAUUGGUUCAUUGGCCAACAAUUCGAGUUCGACCACAUUCUUCUUUUCAACUGAAGUUCUUUCUCUUAUUGGCUCUACUCGUGCUUUCAUCUGUUCGCGGUGCCUUCCUUUAUCCUGUUCCUCUUUAUUGAUUACAUCUUCCUUCCCCGAGAUUGUCGCAUUACAAUCGUAAUUCCAAGGAACCCUCCUGUUAUCCUUAUAUGCAAACACAGCCGAUUUUUGAAUGAUUACUUUUGGUGUUAUUCGUGCCCUAACCUCACUGUUCUGAGGUGGCGAGAUGAUGACCACAGGACGAUUAGCUUUCGGGACUCCCAAUGCCAACUCUGACGUGCAUACAUGAUUCUCCUCUUGAACUCCUACACAGAAUUCCACCUCCCUAUUAUCCAUCAUAUCUUGUAUCAUGGCUCUGAAUUCCGUACAUUCUUGGAUUUCAUGCCCCACUUCAUGGUGGAACUCACAGUAGUUCCCCCUCUUUUCAUAGCUUCCUUCUGAGACGAUCAGUCCUCUUUUCACCAUCUCCUUCCAGACCCAUCUCAAAGGAGUUUUCACAUCCGCAAUGUCUGUCUUGGUUCUACCAUCUUCGCUCACCAUAUUUACCCCACUAUCGGUGUGGUUUGGUAACGGGUUUUCUGCCUUGGUCGAGUCGUCAAACUUAACGACACCCAUACCAAUGAGCCUUUCAACCAACUUCUUAAAAGCCGUACAGUUUUCUAUGGAAUGCCCCGUUAUUCCCGCAUGAUAGUCGCACUGUGCAUUCGCAUCAUACCAUUUGGGAUACGGGGGUUGCAAGGGCUUCAGAUAGAAAGGGGAAACUACGUGUGCGUCAAAUAAAUUUCGAUAUAGUUCCCUGUAUGACAUAGGAAUUGGCGUGAAUUGGGGCCUCUCAACAUUUUACCUUGUACCGACCUCCUGUCUCGACGAGCUUUGCUGACUGGCAGCCACCUUUCCUGGCUGACUCACUGUUACUGACUUCGAGUAACCCUUGUUGUACACGCUCGUGUUGUUCACCUCGCUCUCCUUCCUCCUCGAGGCUGAUCUUCUGUUACUCUCUCCCACAUCAAUUUUCCCGCUCCUGAUGGCAUUCUCAAUCAUCUCGCCAUUCAUGACUAUGUCAGGAAAGCUUUUUGUGGCGCUUCCUAGCAUAUGCGUAAUGAACGGUGCCUUCAGGGUAUUAAUGAAUAACAUGGCCAUUUCCUUUUCCAAGAGCGGGGGCUGAACUUGGACCGCGACCUCCCUCCAUCUCUGUGCGUACUGUCUGAAGCUUUCACUCGGCUUGUUCUCCAUGUUUUGAAGGGUAAUUCUAUCAGGAUCCAUGUCUGUCACAUGGCUAUAUUGUUUCACGAACGAUUGUGCUAGGUCCCUCCAUGAACCAAUCGUGGCACGACUCAACUGAUUGUACCACUUGGAUGCUGCCCCUGCAAGGCUGUCUUGAAAGCAAUGUAUCAGGAGUUGGUCGUUGUUAACAUAUCCCGCCAUUCGUCUGCAGAACAUGGUGAUGUGAGCUUCUGGGCAAGUCGUCCCACUGUACUUCUUGAAUUCAGGCAUCUUAAACUUAUGAGGGAGUACUAGAUCUGGCACUAAACUCAGCUCUUUUGCGUCAAUGCCUCGAUAACUUUCAGUGACUUCCAUCACCUUAAAUUUCUCUUCGAGCCACUUGCAUCUUUCUUCCAACUGCUUCGGUAACUCUUCCUUCAUUCUUUCAUUCUCAACCACUUCAUCAAAGUCAAGAAUGGCAGAGUUAAUGGGAUUAUUUUCAGGAUUAGAUCCUGGUCCAGCUUGGAAGCUUGAAACACCAGCCCGAGACUGCUGCGGCAUGAUGGUAACAGUAGAUUUGCACGGGUAUUCGGCUUGAGCUCGCACAUGUGGAGGGGUGAAACUUGGAGGAUAGGAAGGUUCAUCAUCAUUUCCCUCAUCGACAUUUGCCAUGGGGCCCUUUCCUUUAUCAAGUCCCUUAGCUAUCAGGCGGGUUAACUUUGCCACUAUAUCUUAUUGGGAUUCCCGCAUCUUCUCAGACAUCUCUUGUUUCAUCUUGUCUAACCGCUCCUGCAUUUGUAGCUGAAGUCGGUCUUGCAUCUCCUUUUGACACUGUUCGAGUUUGUCCAAUCUCUGAUCCAUACCUUUCGUCUUUGCCCGAGUGCCGUAUCGGUGUUGGGUUGGUUGGUUGGUUUCCAGGUUAACUGAACAGUGAUUUUGACUUAUUAGGAUUAAAUAAAGGUCUUUAAUGCAUAUAAUGCAAUGCUAAUGCAUAUGAUGCGAUGCAUGAGAUGAAUGCAAAAAAGGCGUUAAUUAUGAUUCAAUUCCAUUUGGGAAACUUAUUAAAAAACAAAUUUCUUUACAUAGAAUAGGUUACAAAUACGACUUCGCCCUAACACUUAAGACCUUGAUCUUUUUAAGCAAUGAGGCUAACUCCUGUCCUCGGUCUGACUCCAACUCAUACUUUACGCUUAACAUGUCCGCUUGUACUGCCAAAGUUUGUAGGUGAUCAGCUACUUCUCGAAUCUGAACCAAAGCUUCCCCCAUAACGCGGUCCCUGCUUCUGACCUGAUUCUGGAAAUAGUGAAGCUGUUUGUUUUGAUGAUCUUUGCUUGCUUCCAAAUACUCAAUCCUGGCUUCACUAUUCUGUAAUGCUGUCUCUAGUUCUUCUAUGGUUUUCUUCAGUUGCUCAAUCCUGCUUAAGCUUGCUUGCAGUUCCGCCACUGAAUUACGAUUUCGGUAUUGAUAAACAAUCUUCUCAAGUUCUACCACUCUAGCCUUUAGUUUAUCUCUUUCAUCUUGAUUUUCUGACAAACUCUUCUCAAGCGAUCUGUUUUGCAUCUGGGCUUCCUGGAAUAUUUCUUCCCAUCUACCAGCCUUGGCUUUUUCUUUUUGAACCUCUUGACGCCACUGCUCUGAGGUUUUUCCCAACCCAGCAGUUCUUACUGACAGACGUAGUCUCUUAUAAUCCGUCUUCAAGCUGUUCAGCUCUUCCUCGACUUUGCGCUUCCCUUUUCUCAGGCCUUCGGUUUCCAGCUUCUGAACAUCUAUGUCCAACUUUAAAUUCACCUUUUCUUCCUCCAUUUGCUCUAUUUUCUUCUCUAGUUCUGUAUUCCUUCUUUCGAGGUCUUGCUUUAUGAUUUCCAGCUCAGAAGGGACAACGCGCAAAUGCUCCUCUGUCGACUGACUAUUUUCUGAACUUGGCCCAGGAAUGUUGUCAUUAAUCCUCCUAACAUGCCAUUCGUUGUACCCAGAGGUUGUCAUUAGACCCACGACUAAUCUCUUCAUUCGACGAGUCUGAUUCCAUGCAUUGGCCAUUUCACGAGCCUUUCUUUUGUAGCCAUCAUCCUUGUAUGAGAAUUCACACUCGGCUAAUCCCUGUGUUGCAGGCACAAACUGUCUUAACCUGUAUUGUCUUAAUACUAGCAAUGGGGCAUAACCAACAACUCCCCAAAUCCCGAGCAACGGAACCCAGUCGAAAUCCCCACACCUAUAUAGGAUCUCAUUUGGAAGCAACCACGGAGCUCUCCACUCGAUAUCUUCUUCUUGCAGACUCUGAAAGAUUGCCAUCUAUUUCACUUCCGAGAUGUCAUCUCUCCUUGACGUAGCCACUAUCUCUUUUAACGGUGAAUAACUCUCAAAAAAGACUUGAUAUGAAACCUUAUCAACCUUCCAAAAGUGGCUGUGGAACCACGCAAGUAGUAGCUGCGCACAUCCAAUAAAUCUACCCUCUCCCGUUCUUCGACAUGCAUUCAAUGAUCUAAAGGUUUCUGCCAAAAUUACCGGGACUGAUGUAACUCCCUUAUCAAGCCGAUCGAAUAAAUCAGUGACCGCCUCGUCAACAUGUCCCAAAAUCUUAGGAAACAAGAUUAGACCAUAUAUACUUAGAGCAAAGACGUCUACUUUCUUCCUCGCAUCUGGGUGUACUAAAAUGAGGUCCUUCAAAAUUUUUCAAGGAAUACACCUACUAUCCCCUUUUUGCUUAAUCCGAGCUGUAACCCACUGCUCACUCAUCCCUGUUAUAUUCAUCAACUUCCUCAAGAAGGUUGGUACAUUCACCGCUUUCGAAUAAAUUCUAUCCACCUAAACCUUCGAACACCGAAGUGAAGCCGUGUACUCCUCUAUUGUAGGCACCAGAUCAACCUUUCCGAAUGUGAAGCAACUAUAAGCCGGAUUCUAAAACUGGGCAAGAGCUCGAAACAGACGCUUGUCUACCUUCAUGUCAAGUAAAUAAGGUAAAUCCCCAUAAUUUGAAUAGAAUAGCUGCCUAACCUCAUUAUCCCACUGAUCCCAAAUCUCCUUCAACUCCUGCAAGUUGUUCUGAGCAACGCUAACACGAGUGAAGUCCCAUAACUCUGAUAAGUAUCCCGUGGCCAAACUGUCACCUUUUUCACGCUGUAUCUUCUCAGACCAAGCCCGGACAGCCGCAUUGUCUUCUACUCUAUCAAGAAACCCAUUUCCCAUGAUAAGCUUCCUAUUUGGCAACCGAAUAUGAACCAACGCCUUUACAAUGAAAUGUCAUGCAAUCAUGAUGUCAUGCAAUCAAAACAAAAUAAAACAAGUCAGUAUCACAUAUAAAGAUAUAAUAACAUGGCAAGAACACUUAUUAGGAAUCUACUAGGGUUUUGGGAUAGUUCUACCUAGGAAUCUACUAUGAGGCUUAGUUUCUAGAGUAAAGGUACCCAAACCAGCAAAUUCCUCGAUCCUCACCCAUUAUAGCCUCAUAUAGAUCGAGUUCAGUUCAGGGGGACACAUUUCCCUAUGGCUGCACGGAGAUGAAAAUCUCACGAAGACAUAGGUACAGAUGUAUCCCGGAAGCGAUCCACUACCCUGCACGGAGGUGAAAACCUCACGAAGGACUAGUUUCUCGCUCCCACUUAAAGGGCGAAAUGCAAAAUGCAAAUGCAAAAUUUCCAAAAUACCAUGAUAAAACAUCAAUGAGCACGAAGGGAACUCAUGAAUUUUUUUUAAAAAACUUUUGAUUUUCGACACAAAGACAAACAUAAUCAGUUUAUGGCUCGACUCUCUAAUGUCCCCAGCGGAGUCGCCAAGCUGUCGAAACUGUUUUUUUGAAAACAAAAAAUUUAGUUGUCAACUUUAAAAAACAAAACUGGAGUCGCCACCGAUCCUUUAUUAGGGUGUGAUCGGCCCACCUUAAAAAUAAUUUUGGUCUGCGGAAUUUGAAAAAACAGGUUCGGGAGUCAGUUACGCACGAGGAAGGAUUAGCACCCUCGUAACACCCAAAAUUGGUAUCAAAUUGAUUUUUUUUAAUGCCUUGGUGUCAAAAAUUUGAAAAGAUUUUAAAAGGAAACUUUUUAUUUCAUGAAUGGAUUUAAAAUAGUAAUACAUUCUUAUUUCAAAGAAAUAAAACACCACACCCAGUGAGUUAGGGCACAAUGUUUUUAAAUCUUCAAAAUGCCCGAAUAUUGCCUUUUUGUUUUUGAAAAUUCUUAUUUCGAGAAGAAAAUGUCAUGACCAGUAAGUUAGGACCCAACAUUUUAAUUCCCGAGAAUAAGCUUUUAUUUAAAAUUUGAAAAUUUGUUGCAAAACAAAUACUUGGCUUUCUAAAUUCAUCGAAAAAUAAUCGCGAUCCAGUAAGUUAGGACACGAUCUUUCACGUGAAUCAUGAAUGUCAAAUAUUUCGGAAUUUAUAAAAUAAGAUGAUUUAAGUACUUUGAGAAAAUCAAAAUAUAUGUUUUUAAAAUGGAUGCUAAAAAAGGGUUAAGGUAUAACAUGAAACAAAUACCCUAAUUUCAAACAUAUAUGAAUAAAUAUUCACAAUUACAUAUACAAGUAGGUAGAAUAUACAAAUAUAUUUACAAUUAUGCGUUCGCAUAUAUUUAUUUACAAAAGUGAAAAGAAUUUGAAACUAAAAUAUAAAAUACACAUUUUAAAAAAAAUGUUUAGUAUGUAAAAAAUUUAUGCGUGAUUUAUAAAAAGUUUAAAUGNNNNNNNNNNNNNNNNNNNNNNNNNNNNNNNNNNNNNNNNNNNNNNNNNNNNNNNNNNNNNNNNNNNNNNNNNNNNNNNNNNNNNNNNNNNNNNNNNNNNNNNNNNNNNNNNNNNNNNNNNNNNNNNNNNNNNNNNNNNNNNNNNNNNNNNNNNNNNNNNNNNNNNNNNNNNNNNNNNNNNNNNNNNNNNNNNNNNNNNNNNNNNNNNNNNNNNNNNNNNNNNNNNNNNNNNNNNNNNNNNNNNNNNNNNNNNNNNNNNNNNNNNNNNNNNNNNNNNNNNNNNNNNNNNNNNUAAUAAUAAUAAUAAUAAUAAUAACAUAUAAAAAACAACAAAUUAAGGAUUAAAUCAAAAAUAAACAAAGUUUUGAAACCAAAUUUAAAGAUGGAAACUAAGGAAAAGGUCCAAAUUAAGAUGCGCACAACAGUAGGAGGACCCAGGUGGAAAUUAAUCCAUCCUCUCAAAAUACUGCGCAGCUAGGGACUGAAUCGAAACUCGGAUCAAAUAUGCAGCCUAAUUUAAAAAACAAAAAAAGGUUUAAAUUGGGGCGCAUUGCAAAAGGGAGGGACCAUUUGCGCAAAUCUCCCCUCUGACGUCAGAACGCGCGGAUCCUCCCCUUCGGGUCGGGUCACCGCGCGGGUCAAGGCCUGGACAAUACGGCGCCGUUUUGAUCCUUUAUUUAAAACAAAUUUUCUUUUCAGAAUCAGUUACAACCGAAGAGAAGAAAAAAAUAAUAAAAAAAACAGAGGCCUCCCCUUUUGUUUGCUCUGCUAGGGUUUGGAACCCUAGCAUCCUUGCGCCGCCGCUCGAUCCGCCCUCUCACUAAAACUCCAAUCACGACGGAGAUGGCUGUGGCACGGCGUUUUCAGGUAAGUUUUCCUUUCCUUUUCCCUUGUUAUUUUAAACGAAACAAAAUGAAAAGUAAAAGAAAAUAUAAAAAAAUGUAAAAACGAUAAAUACUUUUAAUAACAAGAAGAAAUCACAUUUAAAAAAACAAGUUUUUACUGCUUUUUAUUCUCGAUUCCCUAUCAAAAGAUCCGUCCCAUUUACAUGUUAAAAAUGGCCUUUUAUAGGCCUAAAAAAGAAACAAAAAUUCAAUUAUUUUGCUUGUUUUUUCCUUUGGACUCUUUAAGUCCGUUUUUGCAGGAAAACGUGAAGCAAACGGCGUGGGGGAGGCCGAGACGUGCGGCGAUCGGGCGUCUGCUGGAGACUGCUGGGGGCUUGCGGCGCAUUACCUGCUAGGGUUUCUGAUGCCUUAAGCCAAUUGGGCUUCGUAGCUGGAUUAAGAUAGGCCCAAUUUUCUAUUUUGGGUUAUUGUUCGGGCCCAGGCAUUAUUGGGCUUAUAAAAUGAUAAUAUUAUGGGUUCUGAGCAAAAUGGACCAUACUUGCCUAAAUUAUUUAUUUAAAGUGAAAAUUUUGAAAGGAUUAUUAAUGAUAACGACGAGAAUGGGAGCUAUAGGGACCUAAAUUAAGAGGUGAAGGGGUUUUAUAGGAUAACAGUUCGUGAGUUGUCAAUGUCGUUUAACUACAGGGAUUAUUAAGUACUAUAAGACUUCUGAUUUAAUAAUGGGUAAACUAUCUAGUUCGUCACUCAAUUUUUAGGACGCUUUCAUUUUGGUUAUUCAAAAUGAAAUUUUUACAAUUUCGUUGCUCAACUUUUAGGAUACAUUCAUUUUAGUCACUCAAGCGUUAAAUAUCUAACGAUGAUUGAUUGUACACAUCACAUCAUAUUUAUACUUUCAUUUUGAUCACCUAAUUUCUAGGUUGCUUUUAUUUCGGUCACCCAAAAAAAAUACAUUUUUUUAAAAAUAUUGAUCAUGGUAAAAAAAAAAAUUAAGGGUUCAAGUGAAAAUGUGGUAGAAACUAAAAAAAUACAUUAUCAAAUUGUACUUGCUUAUCCCAUCGCCCCAAAAAAAUUUAAUAUUGAAUUUUUUAAUUUCGAAACAUAAAAAUCAAUUAAAUAAAUUGUUGAAACUUUUUUAUUUUUGAUAAUGCCAACCGAUUUGUUAGUAUAAUAUUGAAAUUAAUUAAUUUAAUCUACUCCUAAACUUUAAAAUUCUAUUUUAUGUUUCUAGAUUAAAGAUGAGUUAUUUGAGUUGAUUUUAAUUUUGAAACAUAAAAUAAAAUUUUAAAUUUUAGGAGGAGAUUAAAUUAAUUAAAAUUAAUGAAUUUCAAUAUCAUACUAACAAAUUGACUAACAUUAUCAGGGGAUAAAAAGUUUUCAAUGUUAUAAAAUAAAUAGACAAAGAGUACUAAAGAACAAAGAAAAUAUGCGAAGCAAUAGAGAAUGUAUUUUAUUGAUCAAUGGGGAUAUUUACAAAGCUUCUCCAAACUCUUUAUUUAUAGGCAUAAGAAGUAUAAUGUAGAGAUCUUACCGGAAUUUAAAGUACAUCAAAACUUAUCUUGAUCUUGAUGGACAUCCUAUUAAUAAGAUAUUCAUAACACUCCCCCUUGGAUGUCCAUUGGUAGAUAAUAUUGUGCCUCGUUAAAACUUUACUAAGAUAAAAACCCUGUGGGAAAAAAAAAACUUCUAGUGAAUGAAAAAGAGUACACAUAUCUAUAAUACACAUAAUAUGCUGCCUCAUUAAAAACCUUACCAGGAAAACCCAAUGGGACAAAACCUCGGUUAAGGGAAAAAGAGUAUAGCACGUAUUACUCCCCCUCGUGAAAACAUCACAUACUUUCUCAUAUUCUACGUAUUCAAUCUUGAAUACUAGUUUUUCAAAUGACUAUUUGAAUGUAUUUGUUAAGCAUUUAUAUCACCAUUCUUUUGAAAGUUAUGAGUGAAGGAAAAUUUGGGGAAAAUAUAUUUUGAUAUCUUCAAGAGUUUCAACAAUAAUCAUAGCAGACUUUAAUCAUGAUUCUUCUAUAAAAACACAAAUAGGUAUUUUUGGAUCAUUUUAUAAUCCUCCUUCAACUACUAUUUACCACAUAUGUUCAAAUUAUUUUAAUUCAUAUAAAUGAACAAUUUCCUGAGAAUUUCAAUAUGCUGCUAGCAUCCUAAAUCCUUCAAGGAUUUUAAUAUAAACUUUACUAUAUAGUGGUUCAUAAAAGGUUAUAACAACAACCAUUAGACGCAAGUUAAAUCUUUUAUGAAUUGUCAAAAUAAUAUAUCUAAAGGUUAUUGCAUCCACCACAAAAUAAUAUUAUAUCUUUUUAUAAUCAAUGCCAGGACUUAACGAAAAAAUUCAUAUUUUUAUUUCGCUUUUGCAAAACUACUUCAUUUGCACCCUUAUUGGCUUUAUACCUUUAGAUAUUUGGACUACUGGUCCAAAAACUCCACGAAUUUAAUUGUACUUGAGUUGUGUCUUUCAAUUUUGAUCAGUUUAUUCCAGAUCUAUAUUUCUCAAUAGAUUUAUUCAAUAUCCUCCUUUUAUUUUAUUAUUUUAAUAAUAAUAAUGCAUGCAAAAUCAUUGCCGACCACUUUUAUUAUUCCGUUCCACAUUUUCUCGAAUUGGCAUAACUUAUCGAGAUCUUUAUUUUCAUUAUUUUUAGAUUUCAGUUUCAAGUACCUGAAUCUCUUCUAGACUUUUACUUAUUAGUUAUGUCUUAGGUCUCUUGUAGAGCACUCACCUCCACUAUAUGACCAUCUAGAAGAAUUUUCAUCUUUGGAACCGAUCAAUCUAUUAUUUAUUCUAACCGAUUGUCCCACUAGGACUUUGAUUCAAUUUAAAAUAUUAGAUGAUAUAUAACACUUGGUUAUUCUCAUUAAGUUUGUAAAUACAUCUAACAGUUAACUUGUAAUGAGUUAUGCUUAUUGAACUUCUAGUUCAAAUUACUCUCCCCCUAACUCAUUACAAGCUAUCAUUUCUCUCCCCCUAAUGUCGAGAAAACUAUCGAAUCAAAAUUUUAAUCACAAAUCAUGUCAUAAUUGAAUCUGCAAUACAUUCAAAACAUCUAAUAAUACAAAGAAACUUGUAAUUAAUAUAUAUUCUCAACUUUUUUUUGAGGAUUCACUCAUCUUUGUGCAUUGUGGUGGAGCAAUUGGAUCAUAUAUGCGCAUACAAAAAUUCAAAGAUGAGAAAUAUUUAGCUCUUGAUCAAAAACCAGUUGUAAUGGGAAGUAUUUAUAACUUAUUGGCUCGAUGCGUACAACACGUAAAUCAACAUAAUCUCAUGUUGAAAUUGGAAGUCUAGUUCUCAUAAGUAAUGGUUUAGACAUUAAUCAGAGGCGUUUAAUCAAUAAUUUCUCUAAACCAUUAUGCGCAUAAAUAACAAACUUUUACAAAGAAAAUUCAAACUCAAUCAAUAAAAGACUGAGAUAUAAACUCAUCAGUAUUAGCAAGAUGAAAUAUCUUAAUUGCAUGAUCUAAAAUUAAUUAUUUAAACAAGCAAUCUUGCAAACGAAAGGUUGCAAUUUGAUAACACAUAUGUGAUUAUUUUGUAGAUGCAUGUACCAAAAAUCAUAUAAUAUCAAAACCAUCCACAUGGUGGAUGAAUGGGCCCAUAUUCAUUUCAAAAAUACAAGACAUUAAAUCUCAACGUUAGCUAGUGAGUUUCUAAUAAGCAAUUUUCAUUGAGAACAAGCAACAAAUGAGAAUUUUUUAAAUUAAAGAGUCUUCUAGUUCUUUAAUAAAAUUCCAUAUGAAUUCUCAAUUAAUUUUCGCCUCAUAUAUGAUCAAGGAUGGUCUAACUGGUCACGCCAAGUAAUAAAAGCAUGUGUAUUAGUAAACUUCUAGUUUACUUUAACAUGCAUUUCAGUUGUACUUAUAAUGUCAAUAUAAAUUGUGACAAAUUGAUAAUUUUACUGUGAUUCCUUUUACUUUAUAUCUACAUAUAAGUACUAUUGUGACAUUUACUAUUGGAAAUGUCUAAAUCAAUGUGAAGUUUAUAAUGCCACUAAGUCAAUGAAAUAAAUACAAUUUCCAAAUAAUUAUAUACAAUACUCGCGGCCCCAAAAUUUUCUGUAUAUGUUUCUGCUAUCGAAUGACACAAAUACCUGUUUGCUUCAGUGGCUAUGUGUUUUAAAAGUGUCUGAGAAAUCCUGGGUUCAAGCCAUGACUUGGGUGGAAUUUUUGUUUUAAAUGAAUAAACCCCUAUCUCUAAUCAGUAGGCUUAUAAAUAAAUGUUGGUAAAAUAUGUUAGAAUGGACUUGCUGGUCUAGUGGUUAGGUGGAGUGUUAAGUGACUGGAGGUUUGAUGUUCGAGUUUUUGCACGAACAAGGGAAUUAUUUUGCUACUUGUUCCAUGUAAGAGUUUGAGGUGUGGUAAAAUACUGAGUGUUUGAGGUGUGUGGGGAAGUAGUGGAUGGUUAUGGAGUGUUUGAGGGAUGUGGGGAAGUGUGGGAGCGAAUUUAGGGGUAAGUGAGAGGAAAUUAGGGGAUUAUGGGAAAAAAUCCAAAAUUUGAUCAUUUUCUUUUCUUUUUGAAAAAAGAGAGAGUUAGUUUUCUCUCAAUCUUCUUGAUGAUUUCUUUUCCUGUCUCUACUGUUUUCAUUCCUCAAUUUCUUCCCUUGCCGCCAAAUUCAGCUUUUCUCCCCCACCCUUGGCGUUUCUUUUUGUUUUUCUUGGCUUCAAUUGUUCGUUUGUGGCAACAUUCAUUUCCGUCUAUUCGGUAAGUGAAAUAAGGUGGUAUUGGUUUUCUUCUUAACUUUCAGUUUCUUCCCUUCUUGCUGGAAGUCUCUUAACGUUUCCUUAUUCUUUCCCUAGUCGAACCUUCGCAUUGCUACCUUUCCCUUUUUCGGUCCUUUUUAUUUCUACUCUUUUUUUGCACAUCAUUCCCUUCGCGUUUCUGGGGUUUAUCGAAGGGUUGUUUAUCGUUCGCCAAUAUUCUGAAGACGGUGAAUCCCUGCUACUCAAUAUAAGGUAUCGAUGUGCUUGGAAGUUUUUGGACAUAAAAAUUGAACUAGGUGUGUAACCGUAACACUGUAAACAAAAAUUGACGAAAAGCAAAAAAAUGAGGCAGUCGACGCCACACGGGCGUGUGAUCGACGAGGCUGGCCAUGUGCGAUACACAAGUUGGACCGAAUUGGGCCGUGUAGGCCACACGAGCGUGUGGGCCCACACGGAUGAACCAUACAGGCGUGUGGGGUUUUUGGGCUAGGCCAUGUGAUCUACACUGCCAAGGCCAAUUUGGGCCAUGUGGGCCACACGGGCGAACAUCAUGGGCUUGUAGGCCCAUUUACACUAUUUUAUUGCUAAGGUUACACGGGUCAUCGGAGUCGACUGUGGACCUACUGUAGGGUCGGUAAGCUUACCUAGACCCCUAAUUGACUGAAAUGACUAUAUGACUGAUAUGAUUAAGCAUGAUGAUGUCCCAUUGAUUUGAUAUUGUAUGCCCGGUUUACAUGCGUAAUAUUAUGAAUAGCAUGUCAUAUUUGUGUAUUGCUUUGCAUUGGGUUGGGGAUUAUAAUGUUCGGAGGAAGUGUACUGAAAGGCUUCGAGCUUAAUUUACUGGCAGCUCAGCUGCAAACUACUGUCUAGUGCCGCAUCCGAAACUUUUUGGAGUGUGAGGAUGGAUGGGUUGAUUAUAUCGCCACAUGGAGUGUAGGGUUGGACAGAGUUGGAGUGUAGAGGCUGGUUGGGUAGGAAUUGAUACUGCAUAACUGUUACUGUACUGAAUAUUGACACUGUAAUGGGCAAAGACCCUAACUGAAAUUGAAACUGUUACUGAAAUGGGCUUAGGACUAACCUAUGAUUGCAUCAUGAGUGCUUGUUUAUAUGGGGAUGAUACACUGAGUUUUCAUAAACUCACCCUUUUGUUUUAUCUGUAUAGGUGAUCCCCAGACUUAGGCGGAUCGAAGCGGCGGAGGACUCGGCGGUGGCCACACGACCCCUUUUUACUGUUUCUUAUUUAAUUAGGUUUUUAAACUUUUAUUUGGGUUAUUUUACUAUAAUAAAGUCCUCUAUGGAUUUUUCUUAAAUUUGGGAUUUUUAAUUUAUAACUACUAGUUUUAGGAAAACUCGAGUUUUCAAAAUAACCAAACGUUUUAACAAAAUACUCACGAAUUCACAAACUAUUUUAAAAGCUUCCACGUAGAACAAACGUUUUGAAAGCUUUCGAAUGAUUAAUUAACAUGAUAUUAGAAUUAAUAAAUAAUAAUGAAAAGAUUCUAAACAAGAAAUGUUUUAAGCAAAGUUAUGGUUUCCAACACAAGUUAUGGUUUUUAAACACUUUAACAUGUGACACUGUUAGAUUUGGCCAUAACGAUCAGACUGGGUUUGGGGUGUUACAUUUAGCUUAAGGGAAUAUGCCAAAAUCUUCAAAUAUCCAAAAAAAUGAUUAUAAAAUUAUUUUCCAGGUGUACAAAAGGUACAUAACCAAUGACUUUUCAUACAUAAGCUUUCUCUUUUGCUAGUUCUCAUUAGUAAUAUUUUUUCACAUAAUUUUAAUUGAGAACUUAUUCUGAAUACUGUAGAGUUAUACUCACAGUUUAAAAAAUAACUUGCAACUUCAGGUGUAUCCAACCAUAAUGAGCUUUAGAUAGAAUUAUCAUAUUCUAUUGCUCAUAAGUAGAUCUUUCACAGUCAAAUAUUUUCCUUUCAAUCCCUUAAUGGGGAUAAUGACAAAAGAAGAUCACAAAGAUAGUUAUAGACAGUUCAAUUUAAUAACAAGAGUAAUCAAUAACUCAAUCCUCCUUUUUUUUCAUCCUUUCAAAAUAGAUAUUUAUAGCAAUAGUGAUUCAUAUGAAAUAUAAUAUUUUCUUCAUUCAUAAUCUCAAUAUGAUAUUCAUUAUAAUGAAUAUCUUUUAAAACUACUGGAUUAACCAUCACAAGAUAUUAAUUUAUUAGCUCUUCUGAAGCUUUCGACUAAUUUUGUACUACCAAAUAUUGGAAUAAUGUUUGUUUGUUUCAGUACAAAAUAAGAUAAAUAUUUUCUUCUUGUAAUGAUAAAAUUCGUUACUACAUUCUCAUAUCUUUCCUCAAAGAAUAUUAACAGAAACAAAAUAUUUGGGCAUAUGCCACAUAUGUAGCCAAUAAUCUUUCAUAUCACAUUGAUAACAUAAGUUAUCUUUAACAAUCAAUUUUCAUUGAGAACAAAAAACAAAUGAGAAUUCUUUAAAUUAAAGAAUCUUCUAGUUUUUUAAUGAAUGUCCAUAUGAAUUCUCAAUUAAUUUUCACAUCUUAUAUGAUCCAGGAUAGUCUAACUGGUCACGCCAAGUAGUAAAUGCAUUUAUAUUAGUAAACUUCUAGUUUACUUUAACAUGCGUUUCAAUUGUACUAAAUUGUAACAAAUUGAUAAGUUUACUAUUAUUCCUUUUACUUUGUAUCCACAUAUAGGUACUAUUGUGACAUUUAUUACUGGAAAUGUCUAAAUCAAUGUGAAGUCUAUAAUGCCACUAAGUCAAUAAAUAUAAUUUCCAAAUAAUUAUAUGCCAUAUUAGCUUCAGGAAAUAUGUCAAAUCUUCAAAUACAGGGUAUUUGGUUUAGUGGUAUGAUUCUCGCUUCGGAUGCGAGAAGUCCUGAGUUCGAUUCAAAAUACUUUUAAAACCCUUUUAACAAGAGUUUUGCCUAAUCAAUUAACUACCAAGAAUAAUUGUCUAGGUCAUGUAUAGAAACAGGCCUAUACUAAAUAUAUCAAUAAACGUCACAUCUCAAACAUAAAAAUAUGACAUAAUGAAAAACUAGCAAUUUUUUCAUAACCAUAAUCAUAAACAUGCAUGAAAUUUAAUUCAAAAUCCAACCAUUCAAGCUCAUAGAACUUUUCAUUUACAAUUGCUCAUGUCAUUUCUCUAAAUAAUUAACAAACGGAAUAACAUAAAAUGUAUGAACUACUACCUUUAACCAUUCUUUAAACUAAAUCAAAUCUGAAUAACCAUAAAAUCCAUUGGUUUAUUAAUAUAAAUUUACAUAUAAAAUAUGUUUUAAUCAAAUAUAUUAUUUAAUUAUAAAACCUACUAUAACGACAUAAAUAAAUAAAUUAAUAUUCAUUUUCAUGAACAAAUGAGAUGCUUAAAACAAUAUUUAACACAUGUAAUCAAAACUUAAAAAAAAGACCAUCUCAAAAUAUUUAAAUCAUAUAUCAAGUUGAUUUAAUAUUUAAAAGCGUACCUUUUUUUUCUAUGUUGAGUCUUGACGAUAAGAAGUAAGCAAAUUAAACUUCAGUAGUAGACUUUGAAUCCAAUCAAAAUCUAGUAAUAGUAAAUUUUGAGAGUGGAUCUUAUUUUUCAAGUGUAUAAUAGAUACAUAACCAAUUACUCUUCAUAAAUAAAUUGUCUCUCUUUUUAAAAAGUUCUUAGAAAUUCUUGUUCUUUUCGUACUUUCUUCAUUUUUCCACUUUUGGUGGUGAGAAAAUUUAUUACGACAAUCCUCCAUGACUAUUAUUAUAGUCCAAUUUACUACAUCUAUAUUAAAGGUUAUGUCUUUCUAAUUUAUUACAUAUUGUUACAUUCUCUUCAAGAAAUGGUUAGGUUUCGUGGUUAAAAACUUCUGUUCAAUUAUAAGUAAAUUUUUUUCAUGAUAUUGCUACCGUAGGAGCACAUUUGAAUUAUGAAAAGUUGAAUAAGUUCUCUCUUGCACAGUUCUCAUCAGUAAUAUUUUUCCACGUAAAUUUAAUUGAGAACUUAUUAUGAAUACUGUAGAGUAAUACUCACAGUUUUAAAAAACUUGUAACUUCAGGUGCAUCCAACCAUAAUGAGCUUUAGAUAGAUUUACCAUAUUUUAUUUCUCAUAAGUAGAUCUUUCACAGUCAAAUAUUUCGCUUUCAACCCUUUAAUGGGAUGAUGAAAAAGAAGAUCACAAAGAUAGUCACGAUCAAUUUAAUUUAUAACAAGAGUAAUAAAUAUAAACCAAUAACCCAAUCCUCUUUUGAUUCAUAUGAAAUAUAAUCUUUUCUUCAUUCACAAUCCCAAUAUGAUAUUGAUUAUAAUGAAUAUCUUUUAAAACUAAUGCAUUAGCCAUCACAAAUUUUGUGCUUUUUAGAUAUUGAUAUAUUAGCUCUUUUGGAGUUUUCAUCUAAUUUUGUACCAUCAAAUAUUGAAAUAAUAUUUGUUUGUUUUAGUAACAAAUAAGAUAAAUAUUUUAUAUUUGUAAUGAUAGAAUUCAUUACUACAUUCUCAUAUCCUUCCUCAAAGUAUAUUAACAGAAACAAAAUAUUUGGGCAUACGCCACAUAUGUGGCCAAUAAUCUUUCAUAUCACAUUGAUAAUAUAGAUUAUCUUUACACUUUGAAGAGUUAUCUUGAGAACUCUCAUUGUUCUCUUAUUUAUUACUAUGUUCCCAUUUUUAGUGGUCCAUGAUUAUGUCUUUUCUUUUCUUUAUGUUUGCAUUCACUUUAGGGAAUACAACAAAUCUGGUUGGAUAGACUUCUAAACGCCUUCAUUGAUUCUUUAUUUCAUAAUCACCAUCGGAAAACAUGCAUGUUCAAAUCAAAAUCUAUCUAUUCAUGUUGUCAUGAUUAGUCUCCAAUUAUAAUAAACAUGAUAUAAUAAAUAAAUCAUAGUAAAAUAUACUUGAGAUUCUUUAACAUCAUUGUUAUCACCCUAGCUAUUAUCAUGAGCACUAUUACAAGUAGUAAAACAACUUUGUUUUCGUAAUAUCAUUUAUAAUCUAAUAGUAAAAAAAUCAUUUAAUAAACAAAAUCAAAAUUUUUGUGUACGAUGCUUCAAAGUUAUCCGAUACACAUUGUACCAAAUUUCAAUACCACAUAUAUGUUAUAAAAUCUUAUGAUGCUCUAAUCAAAUAUUUAUAAAUUCAAUUUAAAAGAUAUGAUACAAUAAUUUCAAGCAUAUUAAUAACAAUAAUUUAAUCAUAAAAAAUUUUAAUCAUCCAAAUAUCUUACAUACUAUAAUUUAAUAAAAGAAUCUUAGUUUAAAAGAAACCUUAAAGUAAUAAUAUUUUUCAUAAAAUAAUUUUACCAAAAAUAAAUCAACAAAGAAGAGAAACAUACCAGGUAAGGAUUAUAUAAAUUUCUUUACAUAAUGAUUACCGAUAAUAUCCAGGCCUCAAUUGAAGACUGAAAUAGCAGUAGCUCUAGAAGGCAAUCGACAACAACUUGAGUAGCAAAUUUGAGUGACCAACUUUUGCAUUGGUUGUUGCUUGAAAGGGGAAAUGCAUGGUGAAAGGGAAAAAAUUUUGCGACUUAUGGAGAAAAACAAUUCAAAGAGAAUCGUGCUGAUAACAUAUUAUAAAAUAAAUAGACAAAGAGUAAAGAACAAAAAAAAUAUGGGAAGCAAUAGAUAAUGUAUUUUAUUGAUCAAUGGGAUUUUUACAAAGCUUCUCCAAAGUCUCUAUUUAUAAGCAUAAAAAGUAUAAAUGAAGUAGAGAUCUAAAUCUAAUGAAUAUUAGAAUUUAAAGUAUAUUAAAAUUUAUCUUGAUCUUGAUGGACACUCACUUAAUAAGAUAUUCAUAACAUUCAAUAAUUUAUUUCUUUAUUUUUGAUGUUUUAAAAUUUAAAAUUUCAAUAUUAAAAAAGAUAUUUAGAAUUUUUGGCAAUGAGAUAAGCAAGUACAAUUUGAUAAUGUAUUUUUUUAGUUUCUACCACAUUUUCACUUUAACCCUUAAUUUUUUUUACCAUGAUCAAUACUUAAAAGAAAAUAUUUUUUGGGUGAACAAAAUGAAAACAACCUAGAAGUUGGGUUGCCAAAAUGAAAGUCUGAACAUGAUAUAAUGUGUACAUUUAACUGUCAUUAGAGAUUUAGUGCUUGGAUGACUAAAAUUAAAGUGCUAAAAGUUGGAUGGUGAAAUUAUAAGAGUUUCAUUCUGGGUGACCAAAAAUAAAAGCGUCCGAAAAAUUGAGUGACCAAAAUAAAAGCACCCAUAAAAUUGGGUGACCAAGUAAAUAGCUUCCCUUAAUAAUUUAAUAGCUUAAUUCCGUUUGUCUUUUUAUGCUUCAAUGGUGCGUUUUGGCGAUGCAUUUAGUUUUGAGAGAUGAUGAUAAUGUUUUUUUUUUUUUUUUGGGUGUUAGAUGGGUAAAAGUACGAUAGAAACUCAAAGAUCGAUUACAUUUGUUUUCUCUAUUAAAAAAAUAAAAAAAUAAUUUUUAUAUAUUAAAAAAAAGUGCAAAUUGACCAUUCCAUUAAAAAUUCCAUCUAUGUGUGUUUUAAGUGAUUAUAUGGAUUUUUCAAUUUUUUAUGUAAGUGAUAUGGAAUUAAAGGUGUUGGAAAAAUAUGAUUUUUGGAAUCUUUGAGGCAUAUUUUCGAUUGGUAAAUGAGGAGUUUUGAAUCAUAAAAUUAUGAUUUUAUUCUACCCCAUAAGACAUUUACAACGGGAUAUUAUAUGCUUAAAAUGAUUGAGUGAUGAAUGAGAAAUUGAUGCUCAAAUUAAGCUACUUGUGAAUUAUAUUGAGGAAAAUGAAAAAAAUUUGUCCCACAUUGAUUGGGAAUUAAGAGUGAAACUAGUAUAUAUAUGUAAACCAACUAUAAAUUAUUGAAUAAUUAAGCUAAUGCUCUCUCUCAUGUGCAAGGGGGGUGUGCACUCACAUGAUUUUAUUCCAAUCAAUUUGAUUUGAUUUUAUUCAAAUUGAUUUAAAGGCUCCUUUAAUGCAGUUUUGUAUCUUUAUUCAUAAAAAUUUCCAAAAUUCCUCCAUAUUGAAUGUCUAUAAAAGCCUAAAGAAUUUUUAGAGACAAACAACGAAUUUAUUUCACUCUAAAAAAUUCUUUUCUUUUCUCUCCAAAUUUUCAAACGUUUCGGUGAUAGAAGAAAGUAAUGUUUGUUCAUUGAUCACUGCAGAGGUACUGCUGCCGCGACCAUUUUGUUGUUGUAUCCUGGGAGAUAGACGAUCAACAUUUCUCUAAGUACCAUAGAAGCGGCUGAAUCUGUCUUAAGGAAACUAUGAAAACAAGCCUCAACAUCUUAUUCGAUUUCUAGUUUUUUCAAGAUCUUAUUUAUUUAAAUAUUUUUCAGAUUUGGUGUUUUUACAUAAAUAUAAAUAUUUGUUUAUAUAUUAUUUGUUUAGAUCUUAUAUUUAAUAUAAAUAUUUAUAUUUAUAUUUAUAUUUGUUCGCUAACAUGUUUUGUCCUACAAAAGGAUGACUAGGAUUAAGUAGAAGUACCAUGGGGGCCUUUAUGGUAGGAGUUAGAUUGUAUUUUGCUUCCUCUACUCAAAAAAUGGACAAUAUAGUCAUUGUGUAUUAGAUGGAAGAGCAAACUGAUAUUUUUGUUAAAAGUUCCAACUAUUUCUACUUUUAAGCAAUGGUGUGACAAACAAAACAACAAGAUAGCGGUCCAUGAUGUGCCACGUGUACCACAUGCUAAUGUGGCACAUUUUGUCACAUAAGAAAAUAUUAAAAUAAAUAAUUUUUUUAAUAAUUAUUUAAAAAAUAAAGUCCAAGUUAAACCUAGAUAAAUUGUUGUCCAUGCUCAAAUGAACUAGGACAAAUAAUUGUUUAGGUUUAUCCUAAAUGUAUUUUUUAAUUUUUUAAAAUAUUUUCAUGUCAAUAAAAAAUACAGACAUGUCGCGUAUUAGUGGCUGGUUACUUCGCCAACAAUAGUAUGUUUGAGCAAGAAAAAAAAUUGUAUUUAUAUUGGGUAAUAUUUGUGUGUAUUUUCAACUAUUAAUUGUCCACACGCUUCCAACAUUCCCUUCCUGGUUGAGGACUCUUCCAGAGUUGAAUAUUCUUAAUUUAUCUUCUAAUGCACUUUAUGGUAGGAUAGGGACUCCAAAGUUGAAUCUUGUUGUCUUUCCCACGUUGCGAAUCAUUGAUCUUUCUCACAACAGAUUUAAUGGAACCCUGCCUUGGGGUUACUUUGAGAGAUGGAUUAGCAUAUCAAGUCUAGAUGGGAAAAACUCGCCAACUCCUAAAUACAUGCUUGAAAGUUUAGAUAUGAGGAUAAAUGUUAUGCAAGUUCCC
rnacentral:lncRNA from 1 species